rnacentral:lncRNA from 1 species
AGAAUGAAGAUGGCUUCCUGUCCCGCUAGCGUCACGUCGGGAUCUGCCUUCACCAAGGCCUUCACUCGCGCCAGAGGCAACCUCGAGAGACGAGCCCCAGGCACACUCGUUGGGGCCUGGGGCUGCGAGGCCGCUGCCUCCCCAGCAGGUCCCUCCUCCUCUCGGGGCGUCCCGCUUCCUGCCGCCGCCGCCGCCGCCAUCCCGGCCUUGAGCGUGCUGCGCGCGGCCGCCGACUGUGCGCGCGCAUGCGGCGCAGGCCCUUUCCCGCGCGGGCUGGAGGCCACACCCUGUGUAGGCGCGCGGCUCCGCCCCUACGCGGCAGUGCGCUGCCAGGAAACCGGGUGGGCGGGGGUCGGGCUCCGGCUCUUCCCACGCGCCUAGCCACCCGUGGGCUGUCGUGCACUUGGUUGACGCUACCGGCGACCCUCUGGCCCCGACGGGCCUGUGGAGCCCAGGCACCUCCCAUUGGUGCCUGUGCCUGGCUGGUGAGGGGAGAAAUCUAGACCAGGCUCGCAAGAGAGUCUCCGUCAAAACAGAGUGUGCAUAUUCCAAGGCUAACGAGGGCACGUGUCCGAGGGAGGCCCGGCCCUGGAGGGCCCAGCAUCGUGGAAGAGGGUGCCAAGGAGGCAGCGAAAUCUGGACCAAAUUCAAGGAUAACCAGUUAUAGAUGCUCUUGAAGGAGGGGUAGGGCUUUUGGCAGGCAGAAAUGAAGAAAUUCAGCCCAGCCAGAGGAAACAAGAAAAAGUCAUGGAGGCUAGAAAAGAUGAAAUUGUGGUGGUGAGGCAUCCACGUUUGUUCAAAAAGAGGUUGCAUCACAGCUUUGGUUCUCAAAUUUGACCUCAAGAUCCCUUUACGGUCUUAAAGAUUGUUAAAGAGCCCAGGGAGCUUUUGUUUCUGUCAGUUAUAUCAAUACUUACUAUAUUAGAAUUAAAGUUUUAAAAUAUUGAUUUAAAAUUACUAAUGCGUUACCAGCUAACAAACAACAUUUUUAUGACAAGUAAUUUUUUUUAAAUCUAGUAAGAAAAGUCUCUAAUGUCUGAUUUCAUGUGAGAACUGGAUUCUCUAGCUGCUUCUGUUGCUAACGUUAGCACUUCUCAGGUAGCUCUUAAAAAACUACUACAUCUUGAGAGAAUGUGAAUGAAAAAGGCAACCUCAUAGUAGUAUUAAGAAAAUAAUUUUGGCCUCAUGGACUCCUGAAAAGGGUCUCCAGAAAAUUCCCACCCCCAUGAAUCCCCACACCACACUUGGAGGUCUGAUAGCGUAGAGGAACAGUUAAUAUUUAAAAUAGGUUUAAUCUAAGUCAAUCAUAAUAAUAGUGAACACCUUUAAACAUUUACUAUGUGCAUGAUUCAAAGUGUUUUAGAUUUAUGUAAAUCAUAACUUCUGUAAUUUUCACAAUACCCUAUUGAGGUAAAUAUUAUAACCUUCUUUUUCAAACCUUAUUUGAAAAAAUUGAGGUGCAGAGUGGUUACUGAGUCGCAUACACAGGGCAGAAUGUGGUGAAGCCAAGAUGAAGCUGAAUUAAACACAUCUGAAAUCACUCAGUUCCAAAAUUAUGUAGUAAACUCUGACUGGUGUAGGAGUGGAAAGGUGUGAAACCUUUCUUUACCCAUUUUAAGGGUCACAGCUGACACUCCUAUAACACACACAAAAAGCCUAACAAGUCUAAUCAAAGUUUUACAUGACAUGAGAGUCCAAAAAUGCAGACCAUGAGACCUAGAGGAAACUAUUUUUAUGCUUAGGUUAUAUGAAGAAGGGAUCGCUGUGUAGAAAUGUGAUUAGAGGCCUGGUACGGUGGGUCACACUUGUAAUCCCAACACUUUGGGAAGCCAAGGCAGGAGGACCGCCUGAGCCCAGGAGUUUGAGACCAGCCUGGGCAACAGAUGGAGACCCCAUUUCUACACACACACACACACACACACACACACACACACACACACACACAAAUUAGCUGGGUAUUGUGAUCCUAUAGUCCUAGCUACUUGGGAGGCUGAGGUGGGAGAGUUGCUUGAGCCCAGGAGUUCAAGGUUACAGUGAGCAAUGAUUGCACCACUGCACUCCAGCCUGGGCGACAGAGAGAGACCCUGUGUCUUAAAAAGAAAAAGAAAUGGGAUUGGACAAAAAGGGAAUGAUAAUAGUCUAAUGGUAAUAGACUGAAUGGGGAAACCCAGCAAGGCCUGUCUGUUCAUAUUCUUCUUGGCCUCCCUGUGUAGCAUUCCUUCUGGUAUUAGGGCAGGACCCUUCUGGAAUGAGGGUCUUCAAGGGAGAAGGCAGAAAAUAACCUUUCUAGGUUUUACGACUUGCUUGGAGGAAGGAGAAUUCUAGUUUCUAUGACCUGCGUUGGGAAAGAGGAAUUCUGGUUUCCAUGACUCACUGCGAAGAGUGGUGAUGUUACAGUGGGUAGCUAGUCAGACACGAACAGGGCAGGAUAGGGCCCCCACGCUCCACCAGGAAUGUCAGAAGAUCAUCAGGUGAUGGUCAGACAGUGGUCACACCGCCUCUCUAAAAUAAUAAUUGCUCAUAGCCAGCGCCAGGGAAAGGCAGUUUCCCUAUAGAUAGAAAAACCCUGAAACUGAUGAUCAGGAGCUUCCUGAUGAGAUCUCAGGAGUUGGGCGAGCGGGCUCACGCAUGCACACUAAGAGGCAAAAUGGUGGAAUUUAACUGAUAUAUGACCUUCUGGGGGCAUUCUACUGAAAAAGGGAAGAACGCCUCAGGUGAGCAUGCUUACAACUUCAAUAAAUACACUGCACUUGCUCCCCUCCCCAGCGCUAGCAGGCUACUGUGCAUUUCGACAACCCACCCCAAGGGAAGAAUCAGGGUAGAAGGGAUGCAAGACCCCAGAAGUAUGCCAACACAUAAAAACCCAAGUCAAAAGGUCAAACCUUGCACUUGUCCUUCAAGUCACCCACUUGGGCCUCUUCUCAGUGUACUUUCCUUCCUUUCGUUCUUGCUCUAAAGCUUUUUAAGAAAUUUUCACUCCUGCUUUAAAACUUGCCUCAGUCUCUUCUUUUGCCUUAUGCCCCUCAGUCGACAUCUUCUGAGGAGACAAGAAUCGAGGUUGCUGCAAUUUGCUGCCAGUAACUGUAAUAACUUCUACUGCUUACAGUGGAAAACAGGACAGGAGAAGUUCAGAAAGACCUUGCUUCUGAGGCCUUUCCAAUUUUCUUCAGUUCAAAGUACUCAGCAUUCCAAAGUACCAUACUUUGGGGUAUCAUGUAAUGAGCCCCAACCCUGAAUUAGCACAGAGACACUCCACUAUAGCAGAAUAAGAGUCUUGGCCCAGAAUUAAAAUCUGCAGAAGAGGAUAUGAGUUGCUGAAAAUUGAACCAGAGCAGCCAUUAGGGCCUCAGUCCUGGGUUCUUUUCAGAUUACAUUUAUGGACACUCUCACUCAUGGAAAGCUCCACACAAAAUUCAUAAAAGCAUGACCAGAUUCUUGUGUCACAGUGCACAAGAACACCUCACAAGAGCUAUACUCCAGCAAUCGCAAAGUAGCUAAGUACUAAAUUGACCUAAAUUCUGAAUUAACAUAAGACAGUUGACAAUGGUGGGGGUGUUACUGGACCCCACCACUUACCCAAAGUUAGCCUUUGGGUCAGGGGUUUCCUUGCUAGAGUCCUUUCGUGGUCACCAGAAAAAUGUUACAGGAAAGGGGUUCUGAUCCAGACCCCAAGCGAGAGUUCUUGAAUCUCACACAAGAAAGAAUUCAGGGCAAGUCCAUAAAGUAAAGUGAAAGCAAGUUUAUUAGGAAAGUAAAGGAAUAAAAGAAUGGUUGCUCCAUUGGCUGGGCAGCCCUGAGGGCUGCUGGUUGCCCAUUUUUGUGGUUAUUUCUUGAUUAUCUGCUAAACAAGGGGUGGAUUAUUCAUGUCUCCCCUUUUAAGACCAUAUAGGAUAACUUCCUGAUGUUGCCCUGGCAUUUGUAAACUGUCAUGGUGCUUGUGGGAGUGUAGCAGUGAGGACGACCAGAGGUCACUCUCCUGGCCAUCUUGGUUUUGGUGGUAAGUUUUAGCUGGCUUCUUUACUGCAAACUGUUUUAUCAGCAAGGUCUUUAUGACCUGUAUUUCGUGCCAACCUCCUAUCUCAUCCGCUGACUUAGAAUGCCCUAACCAUCUUGGAAUGCAGCCCAGUAGGUCUCAGCCUCAUUUUGCCCAGCUCCUAUUCAAGAUGGAGUUGCUCUGGUUCACACACCUUUAACGGGCAGGAGGAGUUAAGAGUUCUUGAAAGGGCUGAGUCAACUUGGCUUUCAGAGGAUUCUCAUUUCAACCCCCUUUUCUUCCCAAUUUUGUCUCAUUCAUAUGUUCCCUGCCUUUCCUCCUUUUCUCCUUUUUUGUUCCCCUUCGUGUUCUUUUUUUUUUCUUUUCUUUUCUUUUCCUCAUCACUUGAAUGUCUCACCACUUGGUGCAGUCCUUCUCUCCCUGGUUUGACUAUGACUAACCAAGAGUUUAUGGAGACCAGACAGGACUUCCUGACUAUAAGUAUUGAACAGCACUAAGGUGUGUUAGAAAGGGAAAUCACGUUUCACAGUUUUUGAGUUUCAGUGGAAAAAAGGCAGAAGAAACAGGAAGACGAAGGUUGAAAAGCUCAAAAAGCCACACACGCACACACGGUUCGCAUUCCAGUCCAAAUAGAAUGAAGGCUAAAAAUAUCUUUAAAAGGCUACGUGAUGAAAAUUAAUGCAAAAAAAACAUGAUGUGUGUUAAGUGAAGUUUGGCCUAAAGCUGUCUCUUUACAUAGUUUAAGUUUGGCCUAAAGGUUUCUUCAUAUGUAGAGAAAUGCAAGGUAACUUGAUGUGAAAACGGUCACUUACUCUUGUAAGAAAUAGCCAAGUUUCAGCCAAUUACAGGCAGCCAGCUGCUCAAACCAGGUUCAAACCAGGUUCAAAUAAGGCAAACAUCAAGCUGUAACCGUUCCAGCUAUUUCUGUACCUCACUUCCAUUUUCUGGACAUCAUUUUCCUUGUUAUCCUACCAUGCGGCAGGCCUAAAAUCACACUGAAUCUAUUCUGGUUCUGGGGGCUGCCUGAUUCGAGAAUCAUUUUUUGCUCAGUUAAACUCUGUAAAAUUUAACUUGUCUAAAGUUUUCUUUUAACUUGUGAAGUAUUUUAUCUAAUAAGCUAAAGAUUAAAGACAGCUUGCCAUCUACCAUACUGGAGUAAGUGUCCUAUCCAGGAGAUAAGUUAGUGGAGGAACCAGUAUCACUUCAUUUCUGAAUUUUUUUAAAAAAAAAUCAUAUAUGUGUUGUAUGUACACGUGUGUAUUGUUAAAAGAUAAACCUAGGCACAUUAAAAUUUUAAAGAGUUGAUUUGAGCAGAUAGUGAUUCAUGAAUCGGGUAGUGCCAAACCACAGCUGGGUCUGGGCUCCACUGAGGCAGGGGGAGGGGAGAUGCUUUAUAAAGUAUUUGAGGAACAAGACAAAGAAAAUAUUUGAUUGGUUAAAGUAGAGCAGUAGCCAUAAAGUUCCUAGUUAGAGGUGAGUUGGCAGUGAUAACAGAAUGGCUGGGCUCUCAGUUAAACCCCACCAUUAAGCCUGGAACUACAGCCCUAAGUGAAAACAGCUGACCCAUUUUUCUACCUGAAUGUUGCCUUUUUGGCCUGCCACACCCCUAUCCUGUGCCCAUAAAAAAACUUUAACUGGCAGAGCAAUACAAGCAGCUGAGCGUCAGAGAUACAAGCAGCUGAGCGUCAGGGACACAAGAAGCUGGGCAUUGAGGAUACAAGCAGCUGAGCAUCAGGGAUACAAAUGGCUGAGCAGAGAAGCAACUGAGCAUCUAAGACUACAGACAGAUGUGGCUAACUUCAGACAGUGCAGCUUCAGGCAAAGAUCUUCUUCUCGCACCAUCCCCUUUCCAACUCCCCAUUCUGCUGACAGCCACUUCCACUUCCAUCACACAAUAAAAUCCUCUGCAUACGCCAACCUUCAAUUCAUUCGUGUGACGAUUCUUCCUAGACACUGGACAAGAACCCAAAUGCCAAGAGGACAAGGGCUGGGACACUCCUACAGGGCCCUGCACAGAGCCGGCUCCCGCCAGAGAGGAGCAACCGGCCAGUUCCAGCAUUAGUUCACUUUGGUUCCUGCACUCUUCUUGCUCACAUGCUCCCUCUCAUGAGGAGUGGCCAGUGGCAGGCUGAAUGAAAUGUGCUACUCCAGUUCCCUCCCACAAGGUCAAGGAAAAAAUUCCAGCUCAACAGUUUCUGACUGGUUAAGCUUAAGCUUUGUUUUCCUGCAAUAUGGCUGUUCACACUGAGUUAGGUUUCAGUUUGGCCGUAUAGAAACCCGAGACAGUGGAGCCAUCUCAGCCUAAUGGCCUCCCAAUUAUUUAUUUUAACAGGGCAUCAUUUUAUCUAUAUUUGUGCAUGAAUAUAUAUGUGUACAUAAAUGUAUACAUAUACAGACACAUAUUUGGAAGGUUAAUGAUUAAAUACAUCAUAGGGAAAAUAGAGGGCAUACUAGGGUAACAAAAAAGAAAAAAAAAAUCACCAGACUCUUUAAAAGGAAAAAAUAAAGAGACAAAAAUAAAGUAUCAUAAGUUUGUCCAUGGAAAUCCUGGGAUGCAGGAAUUACUUAAGCACUUAAAAACUAAUUACAAGGGGAAAGCAUGUUUAGAAAAAGAAAAGAGAAAAACAAAAGAUACAAAGGAAAAUGUUACUCUUAAUCAAUUCAGUGUUUAAAUGAAUUGUUUAGGCAGCAGUUCUCAAACUUUCUCAACUUUUUUUUUCAGGUUUAUUAUAUAGGUAAAUUGCAUGUCAUGGGGAUUUGGUGUACAGAUUAUUUCAUCACCCAGGUAAUAAGCAUAGUACCCAAUAGGUAGUUUUUUGAUCCUCAUGCUCCUCCCACCCUCCACCCUCAAGCAGGCCCAAGUAUCUAUUGUUCCCUUCUUUGUGUCCACAUAUAUUCAAUGUUUAGCUCCCACUUAUAAGUGAGAAUAUGCAGUAUUUGGUUUUCUGUUCCUAUGUUAGUUCAUUUAGGAUAAUGGCCUCCAGCUCCAUCCACGUUAUUACAAAAGAUAUGAUCUUGGUCUUUUUAUGGCUGUGUUAGUAUUCCGUGGUGCAUAUGUAUCACAUUUUUUUUAACCCAGUCCACCUUUGAUGGACAUCUGGGUUGAUUCCACGUCUUUGCUAUUGUGUGAAUAGUGCAUGCAUGUGUCUUUAUGAUGGAACAAUUUGGAUUCCUUUGGGUGUAUAUCCAAUAAUGGGAUGGCUGGGUAGAAUUGUAAUUCUGUUUAAAGUCCUUUGAGAAAUCACUACACUGCUUUCCACAUGGCUGAACUAAUUUGCAUUCCCACCAGCAGUAUAUCAAUGUUCCUUUUUCUCUGCAACCCUAUGAACAUCUGUUAUUUUUUAACUUUUUAAUAAUAGCCUUUAUGAGUGGUAUGAGAUCGUAUCUCCUUGUAGUUUGAUUUGCAUUUCAUUAAUGAUUAGUGAUGUUGGACAUUUUUUCACAUGCUUGUUGGCUGUGUGUAUGUUUCUUUUGAAAAGUGUCUGUUCAUGUUCUUUGCCCACUUUUUAAUAAGGUUGGGUAGUUUUUGGUUUAAGUUCCUUAUAGAUUCUGGAUAUUAGACCUUUGUCAGAUGCAUAGUUUGCAAAUAUUUUCUCCCAUUCUUUAGGUUGUCUGUUUGGUUUGUUGAUAGUUUCUUUCUUUUUCUCUCUCUUCUUUUUUUUUUUGUUUUUUUGUUUUUUUGUUUUUUUGAGAUAAGAGACUUGCUCUGUCACCCAGGCUGGAGUGCUAUGAGCAAUGACAUGAUCUUGACUCACUGCAACCUCUACCUCCUGGGUUCAAGUAAUUCUCAUGCCCCAGCCACCUGAGUAGCUGGGAUUACAGGUGCACGCCACCACACACCGGUUAAUUUUUUUUUUUUUUUAAGUGGAGAUGGGGUUCAGACUGGUCUUGAACUCCUGGCCUCAAGUGAUCCACCUGCCUCGGCCUCCCAAAGUGCUGGGAUUACAACCAUGAGCCACCAUGCCUGGCUGGGAGUUUAUUUUGCUGUGCAGAAGUUCUUUCGUUUAAUUGACCAUUGGUCAAUUUUUGGUUUUGUUGCAACUGCUUUUGGCAUCUUCGUCAUGAAAUCUUUACCUGGUCCUAUGUCCAGAAUGAUAUUCCCUAGGUUGUCUCCCAGAGUUUUUAUAGAUUUAGAUUUUACAUUUUAGUCUUUAAUCAAUCUUGAGUUGAUUUUUGUAUAUGAUUCUGGUACAUUGUCUCUUUCUCAUUGGUUUCAAAGAACUUCUUGAUUUCUGCCUUAAUUUCCUUAUUUACCCAAAGUCCUUCAGGAGCAGGUUGUUCAAUUUCCAUGUAAUUGUGUGGUUUUGAGUGCAUUUCCUUAAUCCUGAGUUCUAAUUUUAUUGCUUUAUGGUCUGAGAGACUGUUUGUUAUGAUUUCAGUUCUUUUGCAUUUGCUGAGGAGUGUUUCACUUCCAAUUAUGUGGUCGAUUUUGGAGUAAGUGUCAUGUGGCACUGAAAGAAUGUAUAUUCUGUUGAUUUGGGGCGGAGAGUUCUGUAGACGUCUACUAGGUCCACUUGGUUCCGAGCUGAGUUCAAGUCCUGAAUAUCCUUCCUAAUUUUCUGUCUCACUGAUCUGUCUAAUACUGACAGUGGGGUGUUAAAGUCUCCCACUAUUAUUGUGUGGGAGUCUAAGUCUCCUUGAAGGUCUCUAAGAACUCGUUUUAUGAAUCUGGGAGCUCCUGUAUCCGGUGUAUAUAUAUUUAGAAUAGUUAGCUCUUCUUGUUGAAUUGUUCCCUUUACCGUUAUGUAAUGCCCUUUUUUGUCUUUUUUAAUCUUUGUUGGUUUAAAGUCUGUUUUGUCUGAGACUAGGAUUGCAACCCUGCUUUUUUGUUUUUUGUUUGUUUGUUUUGUUUUGUUUGCUUUCCAUUUGCUUGGUAAAUUUUCCUCCAUCUUUUUAUUUUGAGCCUAUGUGUGUCUUUGCACAUAAGAUGGGUCUCCUGAAUACAGCACACCAAUGGGUCUUUACUCUUUAUCCAAUUUGCCAGUCUAUGUCUUUUAAUUUGGGCAUUUGCCCCAUUUACAUUUAAGGUUGGUAUUGUUGUGUGUGAAUCUGAUCCUGUCAUCAUGAUGCUAUUUGGUUAUUUUACACACUAGUCGAUGCAGUUUCUUCAUAGUGUCAUUGCUCUUUAUAUUUUGGUGUGUUUUUGCAGUGGCUAGUACUGGUUUUUCCUUAACAUAUUUAGUACUUCUUUCAGGAGCUCUUGCAGGGCAGGCCUGGUGGUAACAAAAUCCCUCAGCAUUUGCUUGUCUGUAAAGGAUUUUAUUUCUCCUUCACUUAUGAAGCUUAGUUUGGCUGGAUAUGAAAUUCUGGGUAGAAAAUUCUUUUCUUUAAGAAUGUUGAAUAUUGGCCCCCAGUCUCUUCUGGCUGAUAGAGUUUCUGCUGACAGGUCCGCUGUUAGUCUGAUGGGCUUCCCUUUGUAGGUGACCUGGCCUUUGUCUCUGGCUGCCCUUAACAGUUUUUCCUUCUUUUUGACCUUGGAGAAUCUGACGAUCAUGUGUCUUGGGGCUGAUCUUCUCAUGGAGUAUCUUAAUGGUGUUCUCUGUAUUUCCUGAAUUUGCACGUUGGCCUAUCUUGCUAGGUUAGGGAAGUUCUCUUGGAUAAUAUCUUGAGGUGUGUUUUCCAGCUCAUUUCCAUUCUCCUCAUCUCCUUCUGGUACUCCAAUCAAUCAAUUGCAGGUUCAGUCUUUUUAGGAAGUCCCUUUCAUUCUUUUUUCUCUAUUCUUGUCUGCAUGCCUUAUUUCUGCAAGGCGGUCUUCAAACUCUGAAAUCCUUUCUUCUGCUUGGUCAGUUUAGCUGUAGAUACUUGUAUAUGCUUCAUGAGGUUCUUGUGCUGUUUUUUUCAGCUCCGUCAGGUCAUUUAUGUUCCUCUCUAAACUGGUUAUUCUAGUUAGCAAUUCCUCUGACCUUUCAGCAAGGCUCUUAGCUUCUUUACAUUGAGUUAGAACAUGCCCCUUGAGCUCAGUGUAGUUUUUUAUUACCCAUCUUCUGAAGCCUACUUCUGUCAAGUCAUCCAUCUGAUGCUCCGUCCAGUUCUGCACCCUUGAUGGAGAGACAUUGCGAUCAUUUGGAGGAGAAGAGACACUCUGGCUUUUUGGGUUUUCAGCAUUUUUGUUGAUUCUUUCUCAUCUUCGUGAAUUUGUCUAGUUUCAGUCUUUGAGCCCACUGACCCUUGGAUGGGGUUUUUGUGGGGGCUUUUUGUUGCUGUUGUUGAUGAUCUUGUUGUUGCUUUCUGCUUGUUUGUUUUUCUUUCAAUAGUCAGGUCUCUCUUCUGUAGGGCUGCUGCAGUUUGCCGAGGGUUCACUUCAGGCCCUAUUCAUCUAAUUCACUCCCGUGUUUGGAGAUGUCAUUUAAGGAGGCUGGAGAACAGCAAAGAUGGGUGCCUCCUCCUUCUUCUGAGACCUCUGACCUCGAGGGGCACCAACCUGAUGCCAGUAGGAUCGCUCCUGUAUAGGGUGUCUGACAACCCCUGUUGGAGGGGCUCCCCCAGUUGGGUGGCACGGGAAACAGAACCCAUUUAAAGAGGCACUUUGUCCAUUGGUGGAGGGAGUGUGCUUCACUCGCGGGAAACCCACUCAUCUAGGCUGCCCGGAUUCCUCAGAACUACCAGGAGGAGAGGAUAAGUCUGCGGGUCCACAGAGACUGCAGCCACCCCUUCCCCUAGGGGUUCAGGCCCAGGGAGAUUCGGAUUCUGUCCCUGAGCCUCUGGCUGGAGUUAUUGGCAUUCCUGCAGGAAACCCCCACCUAAUGGGGAAGGAUGGGUCAGGCAGGGUCAGGCCUGAAGACAUACUCUGGCUGCAAACUACCACAUCCAGUGUGUUGGGCUGUGGGGACAAGUCUUGGGAUCAAGCCAUCCAGCCUCCCUGGCUCCAGCAGGGGAAAGGCGCAGACUGGAGCUAUAGAAAUGGGUUCCACCCUUCCCCCACCCAGGAAGCUUACCAUAUUAGGUAGUUGCCAGUCCCAAUGCUGGCUGCUGCCCCUCCCCCAAGGUGCUCAAACAGUUUAGACAGCAGGCAGCCACAGCCAUGGUGCUGGUCACCCCUCCUCCUGGGAGUUUGGUAGGCUUAAGCUGAUUCCAGCUGAGAGGCUGUAAGAAUCUGCACGUUCUGGGGUUGGAACACUAGGCCCCAGUGGCAUGGGUUCACGAGUGGGAUCUUCCGAUCCAUAGGUUGCACAGUUCCAUGGAAAAAGCAGUUUCCCCGGCUGUGUAGCACUCUCACUCACCGCCACCCCUACCCCAUGUGGUUCUCAGGUGGGCCACCACACUGCACUGUUCUUCCCUCUCUCUGUGGGUCAUGCCAGCCUUCUAGUCAAUUUUGAUGAGAGAACCUGGAUACCUUGGUUGCCAGGGAAACAUUCACAUGCUUAUUAUGGUUUUUUUCAAUGGGAGCCUCGAACACUGCUGUUUCUAGUUGGCCAUCUUGUCCCCACCCCCCAGGGGGAUUACAUUUCAACAUGAGAUUUGGGUAGGGCAAAUAUCUGAACUAUAACAAAAAUCAAUAUGCAAAAAUCAAUUUUAUUUCUAUACAAUGGCAAUGAACGAGCCAAAAAUCACAUUAAUAAAAUAAUUCCACUUAUAAUCACAUCCAAAAAUUGAAAUACACUUAUGGUCAGUUGACUUUCAACAAGGGCACCAAAACAAUUCAAUGGGAAAAGAAGAGUCCUUUCAACAAAUUGUGCUAGGGCAACUUAAUAGCCACAUGCGAAAGAAUAAGGUUGAAUUCACUAUCUCACACCAUACAUAAAAAUUAACUCAAAAUGGAUCAAAAACCUACAAAUAAGGGCAACAAUUAUAAAACUCAGAAGAAAACACGGAGUUAAAUCUUCAUGACUUUGGAUUGGCAAAGAAUUUUUAGAUAUGAGAUCAAAAACAUGAGCAACAAAAGAAAAAAAAACAGAUAAGUUGAACUUCAUAAAAAAAAAUUUUGUUAAUAGAGAUAAGGUCUCAUUAUGUUGCACAAGCUGGUCUUUAACUCCUGGCCUCAAACAAUCCUUCUACCUUGGCCUCCCAAAGUGCUGGGAUUACAGGUGUGAGACACCACACUCAGCCAAACUUCAUCAAAAUAUUUAAAUUAAUUGUGUCAAAGGACACACUAUCAAGAAAGUGGAAAGACAAAGUAUUUGCAAAUCAUACACCUGAUAGCCAGAACUGUACCUAGAAUAUAUAAAGAACUUUUACAACUCAAUAAUAGAAAGACAAAUGACCCAAUUUAAUAAUGAGCAAAGAAUUUGAAUAUACAUUUCUCCAAAGAAGAUAUGCAAAUGGCAAAUAAUCAUAUGAAAAGUUGCACAUCAAUAUUUGUUAGGAAAAUAGAAAUACAAAACAAAAUCACAAUGAAAUACCACUUCCCACUAGGAUGGCAAAUAUCAAAACAGCAAAACAAAUGUGGGCAAGUUGUGGAGAAACUGGAAACUUCAUAUACUGCUGGUCAGAAUGUAAAUGAUGCAGCCACUUUGGAAAACAGUUUGGCAGUUCCUCAAAAAAAUUUAUACAUAUAAUUACCAUAUGACCCAGAAAUUCUACGCAUAGGUACAUAUCCAAAAGAAUUGAAAAUAUAUGUCCACAUAAAAACCUGUACACAAAUGUUCAUAGUAGCAAAGUUCAUGGUAUCCAAAAAGCCAAGACAACCAAAAUAUCCAUUGACUAAUGAAUGGAUAAACAAAAUGUGGUCUAUUCAUACAGUACAAUAUUAUUUGCCCAUAAAAAAGAAUGAAAUGCUGAUACAUGCUGCCAUGUGGCAUGUAUACUAAGUGAAAGAAGUGAGACAAAAAAGGCUACAUAUGGUAUGAUUCCAUUUAUAUGAAGUGUCUAGAUUAGACAAACCCAUUGAGACAGAAAGAUUAGUGGUUGCCAGGGCCUGGGGAGAGGGAGAAAUAGGAAGUGACUGCCGACAAAUAAUGGAAUUUCUUUUUGGAGUAAUGGAAAUAUGCUAGAAUUAGAUAGUGGUGAUGGUUGCACAACCUUGUGAAUGUAUUAAAACCACUGAAUUGUACACUUCAUUUAUUUUGGUGAUUUUUCAUAAACACUAGAUGACCAGGGAGAAUUGUACAAUUUAAAAGGGUAAAUUUGCCAGCACAGUGGCUCAAGCCUGUAAUCCCAACACUUUGGGAGGCCAAUGCGGGUAGAUCGCUUGAGCCCAGGAGUUCAAGAGCAGCCUGGGAAAGAUGGCAAAACCUCAUCUCUAAAAAAAAAAUUUUUUUUAAAUUAGCUGGUGUGGUGGCACAUGCCUGUAGUCCCAGCUACUUGGGAAGCUGAGGUAAGAGGAUCAAUUGAGCCCGGGAGGUCAGAGCUGCAGUGAGUCAUUAUCAUACCACUGCAGUCCAGCCUGGACAACAGAAUGAGACCCUAUGUCCAAAAAAAAAAAAAAAAAAGGGUGGGGGUAAGUUUUACGGUAUGAAAAAGCCUAUUUUUAAUAGAAGUAUUGCUUCUUCCUCCUGUCUCUCCCUCUCUCCUUGCAUCCCCAUACUACUUACUCCAGAAAAAGCUACCUGUCAUGUCAUAAGGACACUCAAGCAGCCCUAUGAAGUCAUGCAUGUGGUUAAAAAUUGAGGCCUCCCACCAAUAAGCAGCAAAGGAACUGAAACUUUCUACUAGCAUUCAUGUGAAUGAGCCUUCUAAGAAGUGUAUCCUCCAACCCCAGUCAAGCCUUCAAUGGCUGCAGCCUAACUAAUAUCAGAACCACUUAGCUAAGUCACUCCCAAAUUCCUGACCCACAGAAACUGUAAGAUAAUAAAUAUAUGUUGUUUUAAGCUGCUAAAUUUUGGGGUAAUCUGUUAUGCAGCAACAAGAUGACUAAUACUUAUAAUCAGAAAUAGUAGUGGGUCACUCUUAAAGAAUUUGUAAAAAACCCACACAUUCAGGCACUGUAUUAGCCACUGGGAUCCCUGGUAAAUAAAAGUACCUACAAUUCCUGGCCUUAUAUAGCUUAAAAUAUAGGAUAUAUGAUAGACAUUAACCAAAUAAAUGCAUAAAUAUGUCAUUAUAAACUAUUAUAGGUAACAAAAGAAAACUAUGGGUUAUCGUAAGAACGUAGAGUAGGAAAACCUCAGAUCUCAAUUUGUAUUCUUAUUUUGGAAGGUAUUACUCAAAGCCUCUCCAUUUUCCAGUUCACCUUUGUUCCACCCAUCACUCGCUGAUAGAGUCAGGGAGAAUGUAUUGAACGGGUCCUAAGCCUGUAGUACUGCUGCUGCUCAUUGAACAGAUAAUGCACUUGCACUAUCACCCUGUUACUGCAUCCGGAGGAGUCCAUUCCACAGCAUCCGUGGCAUGUUUCUGUAUAUCAGAGAACUCCCACCCUGUAGCUGACCAGUACACGGAGGAACUACAAGCAGCUAAAAGCAUCAGUUGAUCACCCUCUGGCAUUCCAAGACUUACACUGAUCACCGCUAAGCACUGGGGAGAGCAGAUGCUGUUUUUCUAUGUAAAUGUAGUAUCCAUUCAUAAAAUUGGAAAGUGGCUAUCUGAGGCCCCAUGAAGUCACAAAUGCCAUUAAUCCCUGGCAUUCUCACUCUAAUGACAUCUAUCUAUCUGGAUUCACUUUGCCUUUCACCCUUCCUAGAUUAACCCUGACCAAGACCUGGCUGUCCAUGCCAUACAUGUGUUUACAGCAAUCAAGAAAGAACUGAAAUAAACAGUGAGAGAGGUAGUAGAAAGAGUGCUGGCCUCCCGCUAGCACGAUGGUCACUCCAACAUUUGGUUGCAAUGGAAAGUAACAGUCCUGAAAAGCAGUCAUGGAAUCUUGUUUUCUACCUCAAGAAAAUCCUAGAGUACAUCUGAACUUACACCUGAGACAACCAGGAAAGCCCCCAGAACAAACACUUUUAGGGAAAGAAGUCUGGUGCAUGGGUGAUGCCAUUCAUCCAGACAGCCCAUCCACCAGCCACACACAAUUGUAGGCAAAUUUAUUGAGAACUUCACCAUGAAUACACAAGCUCACACACACACACACACACACAGGUUUGUUCCAGUCACACACACAUUUCACCUCAGUUCUAUGAACCUAAAUUUCCAGUUUUCUGCGCCUACCCCAAUAUCUACUUUUACUCUAUUAAGUUUUGUCAACACUUACAAGUCUCUCCUGGUUUUCUUAGAACUCAGAUAUCCUAAUAUUAGAUUUUCAAAAUAAAACAAAAUUCACCAAGAUUGUGACUAAGUAGUAGUUAUCCACAUUCAGAGGAUGAACUGGUCCACAAAUAUCUAACUCAUCCCCGAUUUCUUUCCUUGUCUUUCAUUAAUUGCUUCCAUUACCCCAACCCCAGCCUGAAGAGGUGUUAUGGCCCAGUUAGCCUGAGACUGAAAGAGUAGACAUAAAAGCCUCCCAUUAAUUCUCUGUCAUAGAUUUUUUAAGCUUGAAUAAUGUUUAAAAGAUAAAAAAAAACUCCCAUAAAAUCCUACUGUUGCUCUACAUUAUUUUUAUUGUGUUACUUCAAAAUGAACAGAUAUAAAUUUCCCAUACAUAUAGCUCUUAAAUUACUUCAAAACUCAAGCAAAGCUGCAAAUUAAAAACAAGCAAACAUACAAAAGCCACUAGAGUUCAUAUAGAAAACAUCAGUGUGAUAAAUGAUAUUUUGCUGGAACUAAAUUGCUGGCGUUGGGUUUAAUACACCUACUAUUUGUAUGUUUUAUGCUUCACUUUCUGUCCUCUUGAUUCUUUUGACUUUGAACAAUACUGGAAGCAUAUCUUAAGUCUUUCUUCAAGUUAUCGUAGGAUUAAUCGUUUUUGGUAAAUAAGCUUGUUUAACUACUAAUCCAUUAGUUUGAGGGGCUGAUAAAUUUAAUAGUGCACCACAAUAAGUACAUAAUAAUAAAAAUACUGAAGAUUAACAUUAAAAAUACUAUUGAAUAAAAAUAACAGUAUUCUUUCCUGCUAUUGAAUGACAGUUCAAGUUGGUAUGUCUCACAAUAACUUCUCAACAUGAUAUGCCACUGCUAUGACAGAAGACAUUUUGAACUAAUGAUGUCUGUACUACCUUUGGGCCACAAAAUUGAUCAAUUUUCCCACAUCUUUCUCUAUUCAAACUUAAUGCAAAAUCGACAUUUCCAUAGCAUGCCGUGAUGUUAUUUGUUCUUCAUUUGGCACCAAACUCAGCCUUCAGCACUAAAAAUAAUGUAGUAGAACAUUUUGAUUUUAUUUCUUUAAGAUUAUCUUCAAAACGAAAGCAGAAAAUUUGAAAAUUCUCAUGAAACACUCACUCUCUCAAGAACAUCUACAGACCUACUUUGAGAAACAGAGCUUUAAUAGCACAACUGAGUUACAGAGGAAAUAUUUAAAUAGUGUUUUACUAAUGCCUUAGGAGAUAUUCAGCGGUGAGAGAACUCUAUCCGUCCAUCGUUAUCUUGAAGCCCCCAGCGGGGCUGUCUUUCAGCCUCACCUCAAGUCAGACCUCUUAAGCAGGUCAAGACCCACAACAGACAGCACUCCCUCUGCUGCUAGCCUGAGGACUGUUUUCCAUCCCUUUCCCAUGAAGGGACUCAUUACAUACGGUCUCUGUGCUGGCUUCCUCCUGUGGUUCACUCUUGUCUCAUUACCUGGGGUAAGAACCCUCUUGCCAGCUUUAAUUAUGAACAAGUUUAUAGUCUUACUAGACCAUUAGCUCAAGGAUCACAAAUAUGAUUGCCUCCACUAAUCGACAGAUACAAUGGUUCCAGUCCACUAGACCUUCCUCCCAUAGCCCUGGGGAUACCCUUGUUUUCUACCCACCUCAGACCCCUCCCUUCACCCCCGUGCCCCACCACCUGCCCAGGCCAACCAAAACAAAGAUGCUGCAGGAAGUACUGGUAGUUCAGAUAUCUCCUUGGUCGAUGUAGACAUUAUUUUCCUAGGCCUGAGGAUCUACUCAAUAACAAAGUCAAGGGGUUUUUGUGGAAGAAAAUUCAACUUUGAGAAAAAUGAGUGAAUUAGUUGGGUUGCUGAAAAGUCCUCUUCAGGGAAAAGGUUUCCUCUUUAUUUGGUCAAGGGCCCUCUUCACAAUCUUCCCAUUUGUGGCUCCACUUUGCUGUCCCCUUAUAUAGUUGUGGUCAAAGCCAGAUAAAACAUUAUGUAGAAAUAAAUGAAGUUAGUAAAAGGAGCUUACUGCAAAUAUACUAUUAUCACAACAAUAAGAUAAAAUAGCAGAAAAGAGAAUAAGAAGCAUGAACACCAAGAAUAAAUAAUAUAAAAUACGAAAGAUUAAAAACCAGAAGUUUAAAAGACAAAAUAGGCAAAGAAUAAUACUAACUAAAUGAAUUUACUAGAAAGACAAAAAAAGAGUCAUGCACUAAAUGGAAGGAAAAAUUAAAUGUCAAAAAUAGUGUGCAAAGGUUAACAUCCUCCAACAGGGCAAACUGGGUGAGUCCUUUGAGCCGUGUGUGCUGCAAACUUCCCACUUGACUGACUUGCCAGCGUCAAUCAUCAUCGCUGAAGGCAGCCCUGAGGGGAGGGUCUGUUCUUAGGGGAGGUCUCCUCAAGUCAGCAAACUUCAGCACAGAGGAGGUCAGGUCAAUGAAGAUCUCACCAUUCAGCUCAAGCCUCCAGGCACUUUGAGGUAGCUUUCAUUCCAUAAUUAAGAAGCUUUGCCAGUAGACAUUAAAUUGUUCUAGUUGAAUUUCCAACCUAGCCCCUAUGCAAAACCAUGGCCAAAUUUGAUGGUUUCUCCAUAAUCAGAAAGUGUGCCUUCCAGUAUCUAUUAAUUGUAUAUUUUAUCCUGGGAUGCCACGCUAGAAAGAAACAGGGUCUUCACGACAUCCUUGUUUAUUGCCUCUGCAGUCCACUCUGUUCCAGGCUGGUUCACGUUCAACUGGGGCUGCUUAGCUAAUUCACAAAGUAGUAGAUUCCAGGCCUCUGGUCAAAAUACAGGCUUCUGUUGUUUUACUCUAAUAAUAGAAACAAAUAUUUGUUUCUAUUUGGCACUUAAUAUAUGCUGAAAUCCUCACUGCCUACCUGCCCCAGUCUAGGGAGAACUGGCAGAGCUAAAGCCCAUGGAAGCAGCCAUCCCUGGUCAGAAGCCACGCAAGGAGCUUUCACCUCUUUGGCUCUAUUUUUACAUUUUCAGGGUAAUAUGUUCUCAAGACCAUUAAGACAGUGCUGAAAAGACUAUAAAAAUAUAAAUGGAAGAUUUAGCUUUCCAUGGAGGUAGAAAUAGAAGGGUGAUUUGUCUUAUCAUUUUCUCACCUUAAUAAUGAAGACUCCAUCUCUGUAGCCACUUCUGACUCCUGGACGUACACCGUGUGUUUGAGUGGGUGUGUGUGUGCAUGCGCACGUGUGUGUAUGGGUGUGUGUGUAGGGAAAUCAUGAAGGAAGGAAGAUGUGCAGAGGUAGCAGGCUGUUAACAUUUGCUAUUACCUCAGGGGGAUGGGAAGAGAGAUGGUUAUAGGAGGUCGAGAUUAUUAAGUUUUUCUCUACCGAUCUUGGCAUUAUCUCUCUGGUUACAAUAAUAUGCAUUGCUCUUGUAAUUUGAAAAAAUAAUAAAUUAAACUUGAAAAACAGAGGAAAUUUUUCCCAUCAGAAUAAGACUGCAACAGAUGAAGAAAUAGUUUACUAAAUGUGGCUGAGGGUUUAAAGUUGCAUUUGUGUACCUGGUGAAUAAAUAUGCCUACCAAGAUCAAAGCCCAUAGAGAUGACAUAUCUCUUCUUCUUCCAGACCAGACUAGGUCCUGCAGGAUGUUGAUAUUUCAGAUCAUCACUCUAAGAGCAAACAUUCAUGCAAGAUAUGAAGAGGACAUAAUUACCUUAGCAGGGAGGGGUCUGUACAAACUCCUUUGACUUUAGAGCCCUAAGAAUAGAAUAUGUUGGAGGCAGAUUAUCUGUACUACCCUUGAAAACAAUGCUCUCUAAAACCAAAGUCCACAGUACUGAGUGGAUUAGCCACUAUAAAUUACCUGUGCAGGAAUGUGUGUGUGUGUGUGUGUAUGCGUGUGUGUGUGUGUGUGUGUGUGUGUAGAAAUGUUGUGAAUAAUAAAUAUAUUGAAAUAGGAAUUCUGUGUACAUUAAUUUUGCUUUAAUUCUACCUUCUGAAGAUAUCUCAUUAGUAGAGAUCAUAUUUGUCUUUUAAAAAUCUCUUUGAAGAUGUCCCAUGGAAGUGGGGGAAUGGAUUAUUCAAGAUGGCCAACAUUCUAAUAAAAACUGGCUUCACUUUUCUGGCAUCAUAAUCACUACCUCUAUCAAAAUAGUCUGCAAACACUUAGAGUGUCAGAAUUCGGUCCAGGGACCCAGCCCAAAACCCAAAUUUCUGGUAAGAGGGAAGAUUCUGAGGGUCCUGGCGUCUUAUGGGAAAAGAGGACAGGUGCAGCUGAUGAAGCUAAAAGUACAGAAGCCCACAGCACCACCCAGACAGUCAGUGAGUGGCGCUUGAGAGUAGGAACACAGCCCUUGGCACAGAGAAGCUAGAAUUUACCUAGCAGGCCCUGAUAUUUGUGAUUUGGAAAGAUUUCCUUUUAUGAACAUUUGGCUUCCCUGGGAGUUAACCUUGGUGCUUGACUCAGAUCCUGGCCUUCGGUAGAACUCAGUAGCUAAGUUCUGCCCUUGUUCCUGGAAAACUUUUUUUUUUUUUUUUUUUUGAGAUGGUGUCUCACUCUGUCACCCAGGCUGGAGUGCAGUGGCGCAAUCUCGGCUCACUGCAAUCUCUGUCUCCUGGGUUGAAGUGAUUCUCCUGCCUCAGCCUCCUGAGUAGCUGGGAUUACAGGCACGUGCCACCAUGCCCAGAUAGUUUUUGUAUUUUUAGUAGAGACAGGGUAUCUCCAUGUUGGCCAGGCUGGUUUCAAACUCCUGACCUCAAGUGAUCCGCCUACCUUGGCCUCCCAAAGUGCUGGAAUUACAAGCAUGAGCCACUGCGCCUGGCCUGGAACAAUUUCUUACCAACUUUUUCUAACAUUUUGGUUAUGGCUCCUGCCUGGGUCAUCCAUGACUGGUUACCCUCCGUCACCUGACCUUCACCUGCACAACCAACACUGUGGCUCCUGCCUAAAUUCUUGCCCUCACCUGUCUUUCUUCCCAACUUACAUCCCCUGCUGACCUGCCUCACUUUUCUGCUUUUUUAAGACAUCAGACUUUAAUAAGGGAAAUCAAACAAAUGUAAUUAAAGAUAAACACAUAAAUAACUGGUGGACAGGAAUGAAAUUAGCUGCUCUUUUUUCUUCGUGUCAAGUUUCCACUGGCUUCUCCUAGCCAGGUGACUUUCCAUUCUCUUUCUAUUUUUGGAAAUCCUAAUGGACUACAAGGUCCUAGGUUGUUCCUCAAUUGCUUUGUGUAUACCACUCAGGUUUUCCCCAAAACACUAAAUUCCCUGAGGCAGAGAUGAUGUCCUAUUUCUUUUGUGCUCCCACAGCACCUAACAGAUAGACGGCUUCAAAGGAGUUGCUCAAUAAAUUCUUACUGGUUGGUCAGUUGAUUAAUUUAGAAUUCAACUAUUGUUUAGUCAUUAAGCAUGUCCAUGGAAAGUGUAAGCUCAGCAUUUAAAUAUCAGUGAGAAGAUGUGCAGAAAAAAACCAGUGACAUCAACGGGGAGGAUUAUUUAUCAAAUUGAUGCAGGGUUUUGUUUUGUUUUGUUUUGUUUUUUGUCGUCGUUGUUGUUGUUGUUUUGCCAUAGUUAAGGGAUGUCUUUUUACCUAAGAAGAGAGAGCAAACAAAAUUGAGUACAUUUAUACUUUACAUCAAACUCUAGGAUAUUACACCUCAAUAGACACUAAAGAUUUUCCUAAUCCAACUCUACCUCCCUGAUUUGAAGUGAGAAAGUAGAAGCCUAGGGAGGUGAAGGAAUGACCCAAUUUCCCAAGAGACAAUUAUCUCCUAGGUUCUCAAAUUUUACUUUUUAGUAAAUAUUGCUCAAUUUUUAUUCUUACCACUACAUUUACAAACCACUUAUUAUAAUACAUAAUUUUUUUAACUUUUUAGUAUGAAAAAUUUCAAACAUAGACAAAAGUUGAAAGAAUAGUAAAAUGAGGGGAGAAAGAGCAUUAGGACAAACACCUAAACGCAUGCAAGGCUUAAAACCUAGAUGAUAGGUUAAUAGGUGCAGCAAAUCACCAUGGCACAUGUAUACCUAUGUAACAAACCUGCAUGGUCUACACAUGUAUCCCAGAACUUAAAGUAAAAUUUUUUAAAAAAUAGUAAAAUAAAUAUUCAUUUACUCUCCACCUAGAUUUGACAUUGCUAAUAUUUAGCCAUGUUUGCUUCUCUCUGUGUAGAUAGAUAGACAUCGUUUGUUUGUUUUUGGCUGAAUCAUCUAACACCGAGUUUCAGACAUUGUAACUCUUCAACCCGAAACACCCUGCCUACAUCUCUGGAGCAUAGACAGUCCCCUACAUUACCAUUAUUACACCAAAUGAAAUUAGCAAUUGUUCAUAAUACCACUGAAUAACAAGUUCAUAUUUGAAUUUCCACUUUUCCCAACAAUAUCUCUUAUAGUUGCAUUUAUAUUUUUAACCUGAACCCAAUCACGUUUCAUGCAUUAUAUUUCAUUAUGAUGACUCUUUUAACAGAACAGUCCCCCCAUUCUUUCUUGAUAUUAACAUUUUGAAAUAUCCAACUGAGUUAUCUUUUAGAGUGUCCCAGGUUAUGGAUCACAUUGCCAUUUACUCUUGAACAACAUGGGCUUCAACUGCGUGGGUUCACGUAUACACAGACUUUCUUCUUCCUCUGCUGCCCCUGAGACAGCAAGAACAACCUCUCCUCUUCCUCCUCUUCCUCAGCCUACUCAAUGUGAAGACAAUGAGGAUGAAGAUCUUUGUGAUUAUCUACUUCCACUUAAUGAAUAGUAAACAUAUUUUAUCUUCCUUAUGAUUUUCUUAAAAACAGUUUCUUUUCUCUAGCUUAUUUCACUGUAAGAAUACAGUAUAUAGUACAUAGAGCAUACAAAAUUACGUGUUAACCAACUCUGUUAUGAGCCAGGCUUCUGGUCAACAGUAGACUACUGGUAGUUAAGUUUUGGAGGAGUCAAAAGUUAUACAUGGGUUUUCAACUGCAUGGAGGGGAAUGGCACUUCUAACUCCUGCAUUGUUCCAAGGUCUGUGGUACUCAAUGAGCAAAUUUCAAAAAUCAACAAGUAGUAAUUAAGUUGGAGAUUAUCUACAAAUGGAGAAAGUAAGUGAUUUGGGCACAGUACAAAGAUGAGACAUAGAGUCUCUGAUAAGUGUUCUCAAAUAUAUCUUUCAAAUAAAGUAAGAUAGAACUACAAGAAGCCAUCUAUCUAUUUGGCUAUUGAAGAGUUUCGUGAGAACUUUCACAAAUAUGAGUAAAUUAAAGAAAUAAGAUUAUUGUCUGAGAAUUAAGUUCUACACAAAACAGAUCAAAACCAAUGGAUAAAGUCAUCUGAAACAGACAGAAUAUGUCUGAAAGCUUAGCAAGUACAAAGACUAAAAGAGCCAGUCAAAGCAGGGUUAGUCAGCCAUAAAAAGCAUAAAAACAGGAGCAUGAGAAUGGUGAACAUCAGCAGAGCCCGUGUAAGAAGUGCCCACUGGAGAUGGUGCCUCAGCCAAUGGCUUUGAAUAAUCUAACACCUUUAGAAAGGCCGUUCCUACAGUAAACGUGGCAGUAUCGGCUCUCCUAGCUUAAUGUCAUUAAAUGUUUGAAUCAUCUAACUAGCUAGCUCUUUUGGAUUCCACGCUCACUAAGCAACAUUCUGAUAACUUGCCCUCCUUGGAGGUCUGACUUCAUUAAAAGAAUGUGCAAGUCAUGUAGAGACAAGUGUUCCAGACACAGUGGCAGUUUUAUCCCUCUUGUGAAUCAAUACAUUGACAUGCUGGUUUCAUGCAUCAGCUCUCUGAGCUUAAUUAAUUAGAGUUGAAGCUGAGGGAUGGAUCCACUCUCAGUGUGCUGACAGAUCCAGUUUCUAAACCUGCAGGGCAUAGACCAGACCCUGGACCGAGGCAGUGCCACCCUGUGAGGUCUCUCAGGAGACAGCAAAUGCUCAUCCUCUCAUAUCCCCACAUUGCCUUUGGCAAUUAAAUUCCUCUAAGCUUUGUGUCUGUCUACUGACUCUGAGGGCAUUGAUUUACAGGGAGUGAACCAGAUGUGGAUUGGCAAAUCUCUAAUCCCUUUUACAGAGAGGACACUAGACUGAAAUUGGAACAAAUAUGACCCUUCUCUUGGAUCAGCUAAAGCAAUCUUUAAUGUAGUUUGUGUCUGAAGAUGUUAUUUUAUCCUGGCCCACUUUCAACUAACUUUGGUUAAGGAAAUGCCAUUUGUGUCCCUAGGUUGUGAGUAUUAAGCAUCCUUUCAUAUCUGUCAAUUUUCUCCACUUUAAAAUGAGGAUAAUACUACCUAUUAUGUUAUUGAUUUACUAAUCAUUCAUUCAACAAAUAUUUAUUGAGUGUCUGCCAUGUGAAAGCUACCAUGCCAGGUACUGGUGGUAUUUGGGAAAUGGAGAUGCUUGGUUUCUGCAUUCUAAUGGGGGAAAUAUAAUUUAAAUAAAUUUCAUUAGUCCAGUUGGGCUGCUAUAACAAAAUACCAGAGACUGGGUGGCUUAAACAGAAAUUAAUUUCUCGCAGUUCUGGAGGGGGAAGUCCAAGGUCGAGGUGUCAGCCAAUUUGAUGAGGGUUGUUUUCCUGGCUUGUAGAUGGCCACCUUCGGGCUCCAUGCUCACAUGACCUCUUCUUUGUGCAUGUGCAAAAAGGAAGAGAGGAGAGACAGAGAAAGAGAGAGAGAGAGAGAGAGAGAGAAAGCAGGAGCUCUCUGUUGUCUUUUCUUAUAAGAACACUAAUCCUGUGGGAUUAAUGCCCUACUUGUAUGCCCUCAUUUAACCUUAAUUACUUCUGUAAUGACCCUAUCUCCAAAUACAGUCAUAUUGGGGGUUAAGGCAUCCACAUAUAAAUUUAGGGCAGGGGGAGGGUACAGAAAUAUCAACAAAGGCAAGUGAUAGAUUGAUUGAUUAAUAUUACAAUAUGGUCAGAGUUGCAAAGAAACUGCAAUAAGAAAAACCCUUUUGGGAGGAUUAAAUGAGUCAGCUACCUGGUUCUUUGCCCCCUCUACUUCUUUCUUCCUAUCUAUAUAACCUUAUUUAAUCUUUGUCUAUGGUCAAAGGCUAGAGGGCGAGUGGCACAGUCUCCCACCAACUUGUCCAAUGUGUCUCUCCUCAUUUUCUUUCUUUCCUAUGGAACCUAAUCCUCCAACCUAUAAACAGUGCUCCCCAUUGGGAUAAAAAUUUGUAGCUGCGAAGAUUGAAAAAAAACAUGCAGCUUGAGCAUCAGCAGAAGAUGCUGGGUCUUUCUGACUCCGGAACCAACUAUGCCUCUACUGCUGCCCCUGAAAAGGGUAACCUGGGCAACCUUGGCUACUGGAGCUUAUAUACCCACUGUUCUUGCUGCUGCCGGAAGCUGGCCGAGCACAUCUCCUUCAGUGAUACAUCCGUUUUUGUUUUUAUCUUUCUCUUGUCUUGGGACCUUAGAAUAAAUUCACUCAGUACUUGCACUGGAUGAACUUCAGCUCCUUUCUACCCUAAAAGGAGUUCUUUAUCUACUCAGAAGACUCCCCUCACCCCAGAUGAAGGAGGAGGCUUUGCCACCCCUUGUUCUCAGGAAUAUUAAUUCUAGUUUUUAUGGGUUGAAUGUUGUCUCCGCAAAAAUUCAUGUUGUAUUUCUAUCAGUACCUCAGAAUGUGAACUUAUUUAGAUAGAGGGUCUUUAGAGAGAUCAUUAAGUUAAAAUGAAGUCAUUAAGGAGUGAGCCUUAAUCCAGCGUGACCGGUGUCCUUAUAGAAAGGAGAAAUAGGCAGACAGACAUACAUACAGCAGGAAUAUGAUAUAAACAAGGAGACACCCACCAAUAAGCCAAGGAGAGAAGCCUGGAAUGGAUCCUUCCCUCACUGCCCUCAGAAGGAACCAAUCCUGCCAACAACUUGAUUUCAGAAGUCUAGCUUCCAGAGCUGUGAGAUAACAAAUGUCAUUGUUUAAUCUACCCAGUUGUGGUAUUUUGUUAUGGCAGUUCUAGCAAAUUAAUACACUAGUGUUUAGGGCCUGGCCUCAGUCUCAAUAAUCUACCUAUUUUAUUUAUGUCAACAGGACUCCUAAAGACCUGUCCUGAUAUGCCAGGACCUUGAAGUCCUCAUAUGGAUCAAUCUUUCCCUCCCCCAUGGCUGUCACUUCACUGAGAAUGUACCCCCUUAGGGUCUCCUAUAUAUGAAAGUCACUUCUUCAGCAACUAAGGAUUAAAUAUGAGUAAGACUCAAAGUUUUUAAAGUCUAAUGAAAACUUUUGUUGCUCUUCUUUAUUCCUGGACCUGAGAUGGUGCCAGGGAAAAGAAUGGGAGAGUGGCCACAGCCCUAGCCACAGAGCAGACCCUCAGCUGGCCUUUGCCUGUCUUUUCAUUCCAGGUCCCAGGCCUAAAGAGCAACCAUACUGUGGGACAUUCUCUUCUCAUGGCAGACAGCAGAAGAUCAAGAGGGACGAACCAAAAUAUGCCUUGUCUCAUAACCUUGUGCUUAGAACUGGCACUUUGUCGCUUCCACCCAUGUUCCACGGAUCAAAGCAACAAUUAAGGCCAAGCCCCACAUCAGUGGAGCAGGGGUGCACGUGUCCCUUCAGGGAGAAUGGGCAAGUCACACCAUGGGCAGGGCUGUGUCACCCUAUUACAGGGGGAAACUAGGAGUUGGGAACAACAGUUCUUUCUACCACAGAUUUAGAGUGUACUCUUUUGAGGAACUUGAUGGUAAAAGUAAACAGAGCAGUAACUAAAGGAAGAUAAGAAGCCAACUAUGGCUUCCAUUUUGUUUUAUUUUUCAGGUAGGAGACAUUUGAGUAAGUUUAUAUAUUACUGGGGAAGGAGACAGAAAGGAGCAAUAAAAAUACAGAAAUGAAAAGAAAGAAGUGAUGAACAUCACUUCGACAAUUCUUCACUUUCAAAACGCAAACUGUAUCACCCGGGGUCCAAUUAAGACACAGAAACCACACUAUAAUUUGGUUGGGGAAAGUUUAAUAUAAAAAAAGUUGGCUGCUAAGCAGUAACAAAAGAGAAUUGGCUGCUAAUGGGGUAACAAGAAGUCUAAAGAAUAGAGGACUGACAUGUACAGAAAGCGGCCACUAUCCCCAGGGCUGAGGCAGAGCACACAAGGAUGGAAUGACUAUGGAAGAGCAGCCCCCACUACCUGAGCUGAGAUCCAGACCUUGAUGGGAAGUACACAGCCAUGACUUACUGGGUGGUGCAGUCACCGAGGGGCAUCCUGGCAGGACUCACUGGCAAUUCACCUUCUGGGGUACUGAGAGAAGAUGCCUAUGGAAACACAUGCUGCUGGUCACCGGUCACUGUGCACUACAAAAGUCUGCCUAGAAAAAAAAAAAAAAACAUUAAACUAGGAAAUACUGUUCAUCCUCCAGUGUCCCCUACUGAUGAAGCAUAUAACAUCAUACUAGCUAAGCAAGGGGAAAGGUUCCAAUAUCACAAGCAAGCAAUGAAGGUGGGUUUGGAGCUGAGAGGCAAGAGGUGAUAACCAGCACCCCAACCCUGGUGAAAUCAAAUUCUAUGCCUAUUCCACACCAGCCCCUAUGCAGCUAUAUGCGGCUAGAGAAAGCAACAACAAUAUCAACAACAACAACCCAACUGAUUGGUCCAACUGGUCUUGUCAUUAGGUCUCAAACGGUCAUUAGUGUGGCCAGAAAUCCUAUCACAUUUUCAUGCUGCUCACUAAUCUGCUCACCUGGAUGAUUAUUUGACACCUUCUCCUCGCUCCUCAAACAUACAACACCUUUUCCCCAACCCACUCACUCUCUCCAUGGUGAACUUGGUUCCUAUUUCACAAAGAAAAUAGAAGCAUUGGGAACUUUUGCAAGCUCGCACCACCACACCUGCACACCUACCAGUAUCUGCACCCACAUCCUUUGCCUUCCCACCAGCUAAGUGACUGAGAUGUCAGGGCUCCUCUCUAAGGACAUCCUCUCUACUUCUCCAUCAGACUCCCAUCCCCUCUUGCCUACUCAAGAAACUCACUCUGCUUCUCUCUCUUUCUCUCUCUCUCUCUCCUUUCCCUACAUCAUCAAUUUCUCCCCUCCACUUGACCAUUCCUAACAGAAUACAUGAAUGCAUCUAAAAAAUACACACUCUUUACCCCACACCCCUCCAACUUCUGCCUCACUUCUUUGCUCUUAUUUAUAGAAAAAGUCCUUUUUAUUAACUUGUCUAUAUUCAUUGUCUCCAAUUUUUCUCUUCUAACUCCGCUUGCACUUACUCCAGUGAGGUAUUUAUCACCACCAGGCCACUGAGACAAUAUCUUCAAGAUCACCAGUAACCAGGGCCACCCCUAGUAUACAAAGCCCUAAAAAAAUAUUUUAUAAGACCCUUGCCUAUCUAAACAAUUUAAUUUUAAAAGGUAUUUCAAAAUGUAUGGGCCUAUGUGAGGUACUUACAAAUGUGUUUAUUCUUCUAUCACUGCACAUGAAGAUUCUUCAUAGAGUCCAGACACCAGCUAUUCCUGUUCAGAUCCGGGAAAUAUCUGCCCAUGCUCUUUUGGUUAAAGUUUUAUUUCCUAUUGUGAGAAAGAGGCGGCAACAUUGUUGUCACUCACGAUGUCAUAGCUUUUGGAACCUGUUUGUAUUGAAACAAUAUAGUUUUGGGUUUUGGUUUUGUUUUUUCGCCUCUGUGGUUCUCUGAUACCAUUUGUCUAAUGUUGGUUGCAUCUUGACUGAUAGUGCUGCAUCAUUCAUCGUGGCACCUGCAAAUACUGGCAUCCAACCACUCUCUCAGAGGUUGUUUCUGUACUUCAUUAAUAAUGACCAAAAUGCAAGCCUUACCCAGAAUAUUCAGGAAAGUAUGAAUGAUAAUUUAUUUUUCAUUUGGAGUUUUAUAGUGUAACCAUAAAGUGACACAUCUUCCAACCAUGUAUUCUCUUGAAUUCUUCAGGCCAUUAUAACUACAUUCUUAGAAUGUGAUCCCUUUCAACAUUUCCUGCACCUCUGCUUCUGCACACUACCACCAAAAGACAAGAAAGGCAAGGAGACGUGACUGGAGCAAGAAAAACAGUGUUUUUCACACAAGGAUGUCCACUCCUUGUUGGGAAUGGCUUAAGAUCGACCUGGGAAAGCAAAACAUCGCCAUAUCAUUUGGAGGAAAGGCACUGGUUGGAAGAGCCUGUUGGCGUGGCAAAGCCAAGGUCUUUAAAGUCCUCAGAGAAGGCAGGCAUAGCCACCACUGGAGGACUUCCUGAUAUGUGGUACAGAGACUGAUGAGGGCAUGGGGUGACAACCUUAGGUGCCAACAGCAAGGGGAUGGAUAUACAGGGUAAAGGAGGCUUGCUGCCAUCCUACGCCUUUGAACGCCACAAAUCAGAGAUGGUACCAUGGAGGAACAUGAACAGGUGAGAGCUGAGGCAUGGGUGCCCACACACAGCCCAAGCCCAGGUGCUAACAGUUGACCAUCAGUAGCCCAGUGCCCCGAAUUCAUCCUGCGCCUGAUUAUCACCCAAAAGCAGUGCAUCGGCACCAUUCUGGUGACUCAAUAUCACACAAUGGCACCAGCCAGCAGGAACAAUCCAAUUGCCAGGCUGCCCUCCUGCACAGAGCCCAAGCCACAGAGCCCUCAGAUAACUCCAUUGAUGCAAAUCUCAGAGUUCCUCAAGGAAACAGGUCAACCCUGCACAUGGAGUGGAGAUUCAGAAAGGCCCCAAAAAGGAAAAAAACAAGGAUCAGUGUCCAUGUAUGUCCCUGUAUGGGGCUGCCAUUUGUCCUAACCACCCUGGGGUCUGCCAUAGCUGAGCCAGCCCUACUGGAAGAGGAUAGUCAAAUAACCUCACUCGUAUUCUUUUGCCACUUACUGUGUUGCCCUAGCUUCCCUCCAGGGGAUCCUCAUUUUGUCCUAGGCUCAACCUUACCUUUGAUCACUUUAGGACUCAGGCACAAGAUUUCACAUUGCUGGGAAUCCAUUUUCAGUCUUUGAAAAGACACAGUGAUUCUUCAGGAAGUUUGUUAUCCCAAAGAUGCAACAGAGACAGAAUUUCCCAGCUUGAAGGGAUUUGAAACAUCCAUAAAGUUACAGAAAUUCAUAUCUGGAGGAGUCUUAACGGUCAUUCAGACCAACGCUUUCUCGGGUAUCUAUAACAUCCAAUGCCCUAGUUUCCCUGCUGUCUUUUUUGGCCACUCCUUUUCAAUCUCCUUUGCAGGCUACCCUUUACAGGGCUCAGUCUCCACACUCUUUUGUUCUAGAUUUUCCCCUGGUGACCUCACCGAGGCCUACAGCUUUAAAUACCAUCCAUAUGCUGAUAAUUCCCAAAUUUAUAUUUCCAGUCCCAAGCUCUCCACUGAGUUUCAGGCUCAUAUAUCCAAAUGUCUACUUCUUGCCUUCAGUAUACCUUACAAACCUCUCAAGUUUGACGUGCCUAGAACUGGACUCUGGAUUUUACCUUUUGCCCGUAUCAACAAGUUCCUCUCUUAGUCUUCCAAUCACAGAAAGGGCUCCACCAUCAAGAUGGACAUGAGCCUAAAACCCAAGAAUUCUUGUUUCCUGCCUUCCUUUCCUUCUCUCACAUUCAGUCUCCUGGUAGACUUGUUCAUUUACUUCCACCAUUUCUAUCUACUUCUUUUCAUCUCCAGUGCCAACAUUCUUGUCCAAGCCAUCACUCUCUCUCCCCAAACCACUCCAAUAGCAUCCUAACUGGUUUUCCCUACCCUUAUCUCACCUCAAUCCAUUCUCUGCAUAUUAGCUGGAGUGAUCCUUUCAAGAAGUGAAUACAAACCUUAAAUCUUUCAACAGCCCUCACUGCAUCCAGAAUAAAAUCCAAGCACCUAUAACUGCCUAAUAUGGCUUCUGUCCACAUCUAACCUCAAAUCUUACCUUCUGCCCUUGCUGUGCUCAAGCCUUUCUGGCCUUUCAUUUCCUUAAACACACCAAGCCUUUCCAGCAUCAGAGACUUUACAAUUCUUCCUGGAAUGCUCUUCCACUAAUUUCUUUAGGUCAUAGUUUGUGGUCAUUUGAAAACAUGUCCACAAAUUCUUUUCUAUCCUAAAAAAAGGGGGAAUCCAAUUCCCCUCCUCUUGAACAUGGACUAGCCUCAGUGGCUUGCUACUAAUGAAUUAAAUGGUAUAGAAGUGACUGUAACUUCUUAGACUAGGUGACCAAAGAUGGCACAGCCUCCACCUGGUUCUCUGUCUUGUGAGGCUCACCCUUGGAACCCAGCCAUCAUGCUGUGACAAAGCCAUGUACCACAUGCAGGUGUUUCGGGGAACAGACCUGUCAGAGGUCCUUGCCAACAGCCAACAUCAGUCAGCAUCAACCACUAGACAUGUAAGUGAGGAAGCCUCCAGAUGAUUCCAGUUCCCACCUUCAGCUGAUGUUAGGUGGAGCAGAGACAUGCUGUCCCCACCUGCCUAAACUGCAGAUUCAUGAGUAAUGUAAUUUCUGUCAUUGUUUUAAGCCAUUAAGUUUUGGGGCAGUUUGUCACACAGCAAUAGACAACUGGAACACAGCUCAUAUGCCCCUUCUCAGAACUGCCCUCCCUGAUCAUCCUAAGUGCCCAUUGGCAUUAUCCAUAACCUGAAAAUUAUUAUGAUUGAUCCUAAAGUCCAGCCUGGUGCCUGGCACGUAGGAGAUGCUCAGUGAAUAUUUGUGGAAUGAUUGAAUAAGGAAAUGAAUCCUCUUGUCACAUUUGAAGUUAUCAGUCAUCAAUAAAAUGGGGAUUUGUUUCAUCGUUUGCAGGGUGAUGACAUCAAACUCAAUUCGGAGAGAGGAAAGGGUAGUUAUGAAGCAUGCUCCACUGGUGCUGCUGGAUAGUGAGGGUGGGCAGACUUGACGACCACCAGUCCAGGACCUAGACAGCCUGAAGACACGGGGGCCUGAAAAGGUAGUUGGGGAUGCCCAAAGAAUGCUAGUCCUGGUGCCAAUGCAGCAGACAGUCACCUUGUCUGUUGUCGAGUAAACAAGUGCCUCCUCUUGGGCCUGUGAUGCCUGCCAGCACAUGUCUUUCUCAGAGGUGGGCAUAUUCUCUAUUUGGGAAACAAUGGGUAGAGGGAUUGAAGCAGGAGAAGUUUCAGAGAAUCACUCUUGCAAGAGAUGCUGCACUCUGGCAGACUCGAUAAUGACAAAUAUGUCAAGCAACUGAGUUUCAGCAGGGUUCCUUCGGGCCUUGUUCACCAACUUGUGGUUUCCGUGGUGACAGGACAGCUGCCAGGUAGAUGGCGGCUUUGGGGCCACCUGACUGGCUCUGACGAUAACUGGCUUUGACAGCUUUGAUUGGAAUGAAAAGAUUUAGGGUCCCUACUGGCUUUCUUAAAUUAAACCCUCCCUCCUGGAGUUAGCUUGUUUAUCAACAUUAUCUUAGAUUAGGGGACUUUCUUGUGAUCAGAGAGUUCUUUUACCACGAUGGUUCACAUGUUGGGGCCACUGGCAGGGUUUCUGAGAUCAGGGUCCUCGGAGCAGCACAGAGAGGUAAGGCUACACCCUGAUGUGCUUCUCAGGCAAUGCCUCCAAGGGGCAUGUUAACAGUCAGAUCUAGUUAGGAAAGAAAACAGGAAAAGGACCUGCAUUUUAACAGAAAUAAUUUAAUCUAGGCAAUUGAGUAAGCAGGUAUUAGAGGCUGAAAGGCAAAAAGGAAGUAUCAAGAUAAACACAGGGAUGGUAACUGCCAGAGGCAGCUCUACCUCUGGGGCUGAAGAACACAGGGAAGAUACUGGGGUUGCAAUAAUUUCAAAGCUUGGAAGAGGAGCCCUGCGGAGCUGGGACCUAGGCUUCUAAGGAGCGGCGACUGCACAGUAUCUGUGAGGCUGGAUUUGAGAGUCCAGAAAAUGUUGAAGACUGGAACCCAUUGCUAUUGAGGUAAACUGCCACUGCAAGGUGAAAAGUCAUUGUUGGGGUGAUGCUCACAGGGACAAGAAGCAGUCCCAGGAAGAGGCAAGUCCCUGCUCUGCCAAUUUGCCAUCCCUCCUUACUGACAGAGCCCCACAUGGAGCCAGCUGGCCACAGAGCAGUGUGGUUCGCCAAGUUCCAGCCCCAGAAUCACAGGGUAGAGUACAGACAGGUGGGUCUGACCUUAGAGACAUCAGCUUCAUAAUCAGCACAGGGAGUGUGAACAAGACGACAAUGGUAGGCCCUGAGAUAGAACAGCCAGGCCCAAAACACCCACACCUACCCUUCACUGGUAGAAAUCACCUCAUGCAGCUGUGUGUGGUAGCUCACGCCUGUAAUCCCAGCACUUUGGGAGACUGAGGCAGGUGGAUCACCUGAGGUCAGGAGUUCAAGACCAGCCUGACCAACAUGGAGAAACCCCAUCUCCACUUAAAAAAAAAAAAAAAUACAGGGCCGGGCACGGUGGCUCACACCUGUAAUCCCAGCACUUUGGGAGGCUGAGGCAGGUGGAUCACGAGGUCAGGAGAUCGAGACCAUCCUGGCCAACACGGUGAAAUCCCAUCUCUACUAAAAAUACAAAAAAUUAGCUGGGCGUGGUGGCAGGCAGCUGUAGUCCCAGCUACUCGGGAGGCUGAGGCAGGAGAAUCGCUUGAACCUGGGAGGCAGAGGCUGCAGCGAGCCGAGAUCGCGCCACUGCACUCCAGCCUGGGCAACAGAGCUAGACUCCAUCUCAAAAAAAAAAAAAAUACAAAAUUAGCUAGGCGUGCUGGCACAUGCCUGUAAUCCCAGCAACUGGGGACACUGAGGCAGGAGACUCGCUUGAACCCGGGAGGCGGAGGUUGCGGCGUGCUGAGAUUGCACCACUGCACUCUAGCCUGGGCAACAAGAGCAAAACUCUGUCUAAAAAAAAAAAAGAAAGAAAGAAAAGAAAAGAAAAAAAGAAAAGAAAUCACCUAAUGCGUGCUCAGUUCUUUACACUUUACAAACAGCUUCUUAUGUUAUCUUAUUUAAAGGCAGAAAACUGCCUAUGUGUACUGGCACUGACCACCACAUGAGGAGAACAGGACACUGUCCCAAGCACCCAGCAUUGGUGUCCUUUGCUUUCACUUUGUCCCUGAGCUCCUGAGGAACAGCCCUGAUGCAGCCUGACCUGGGCAUUUCCCGAGAUGUGGAAGUUUUCAACUUGUUUCUUGGGCAAAGUAGGCAGGUCACCAAGCAGGACAGUAACCCUGCCCCCAACUCUGUUUUGGCCAGAAUAUCUCCACUAACAUUUGUUUCUCAUACUGGGUCUCCAGGUAAGCUUAUGUAUGAAGAGGAGGCUCUUCAGUGAACAAUAGCUUGGAAACCUUUGCCCUAGAGGGAGAAACCUUCAAGCUGCCAGCCACCAAAUAAGCCCACAAGGCUCACUUCCAUUGUCUUCUCCUCUGCAAUGCCCUUUGUCCCUACCAGCCUGAGGCAAACAUCAGUCCCUAUUGUCCCCUUCGGAGGUUAACCCUACCUCCAAAACCUCUUAAGAGUAUCCUUUCAAAGCAUGUUGGCAGAGUGGCCUGCUGAGUGUCCGAUUUCUCAGUGUGUGGGUUGGGCCUGUUGUUUUGUAUGCAUAGCUUGGGGUGUUGAUUUUUGUUCAUUUGUUGGUUGGUGUGUUUUUCUGCCAAAAAAAAACUGUUAAUCCACCCUACAAGAAAGGAAGGUUAGGGAAAGGGGGGACACAGUUGGAAAAAGGAAUCACAUUUUUCCCUUUCCUAAAUAGACCCCAGACCCACAUCUGCCUCUAAUAUUGGCAAAAGUAUAAAUGAAGGCAGUUGGUCAGCACCCCACCUUCUCUUCCCCUCUCAGGUCCACCAGCAGGCACUGAACAAACACUUCAGCCCGCAUGCCCAAACUCUGUGUAAAGGCCGCUAAUAAGAGCCACCCCUUAGCUAUCCCUGAGGCCUCAGUGACCUCACCACAGACGGGACAGAUGGGAAGAGGUUCACACAGCCCUGGAAGAGGCUGGGACAUUUGAGCAGGGAAUUCUGGGCCCUGGGUUACGAACCAUGCACCAAAAGGAGGACUGGCCCUGGGUGGCACACAGACAAGGCCCAUGAACUUCUUGUCCUAUGGGGCGGGGCCAGCCCCACCAAGACCAGGGCAGGGCACCUAAAACCACAGCCCAGGGUUGCACCCUGAGAGAAUAAAAGAGACUACCGGGGCAGAGCGGAUCCUAGAAGGGAGAGGCACUAUGGGGCCAGCCUCUUUCUGAAGCCCCACCCAGAGAAGCACCCUUUGCUGGAAAAGAAAACAGCAGAAGCCAAGGUAAGGGGCCAUCACCCAGCAAAAGCAUCCCGUGUCAGAGAGGGAAAGAGCAGCCACAGCCAUGAAGCUGGCCAGUGCAUGGCUUCCUUAGACAGAAGUCUCAGGGAGCCCCAUUCAGGCCUGCAUAAGCCCCCGGGAUUCCAGCAAGACAUGAUGGAGGAGGUGGGCUCCCAGCAGUGGACCCUGGACUCCUGCUAGUCAUAGCUGAGGACAGCGGGCCUGGGGCAGGGUUGGGAGAGCUGUGGCUGCUUACAGACUUAUUCCAGGAAAGCAGAAAUGUGCUGUACUUUGCCUCGUUGCACUCACCUACUUUAGGCCCCUUCCCAGUUCUGCCACCCCAUUCUCACUCUUACAUACACAGAGCUCUUGAGUUUACUGUCUUUCAUUUUAAUGCCUAACAUUUAAAAAAAACUUUUUAUCAUGGAGAAAUUCAGACAAAUGCAAAAGUAGGUUAAAUAGCACAAUGAACCCUCAUGUACCCAGCACCAAGGUUCAGCAACCAUCAAUUAAUUUAUAGUCAAUCUUGUUUUAACCAAAAACCCUACUUAUUUCUCCCCUCUGAUAUUAUUUUGAGGCAAAUCCCAAAUAUUUGGUUUGGGAUUGGUUUCGUCAAUUAAUAUUUUGAGCUAUACCUCAGAAACUGAUUCCUUUAAAUAUAUAUAUAACCUCAGUGCCUUCACCACAUCUAGAUAACACAAAUUCCUAACAUUAUCAAGUAUCUGGUCAGUGAUCUCAUUUCCAAGAGUCUCCUAAAUACCACUUUUACCAUAAAACUUAAAGUAUAAUAAUAAUAAAAUUUAAAAAAAAAUACCACUUUUACCUGCCUCGGGAGGGGCGCUGGCUGAAGCACAAUCAAAAAGCAAGGGGUGAUCGGGCAUGGUGGCUCACGCCUCUAAUCCCAGCACUUUGGGAGGCUGAGGAGGGCAGAUUGCUUGAGGUCAGUAGUUCAAGACCAGCUUGGGCAACAUGGUGAAACCUCGUCUCUACUAAAAAUAUGGAAAUUAGCUGGGUGUGGUGGUGGGUGCCUGUAGUCCCAGCUACUCAGGAGGCUGAGGCAGGAGAAUCACUUGAACCCGGGAGGUGGAGGUUGCAGUGAGCCGAGAUCACACCACUGCACUCCAGCCUGGAUGACAGAGCGAGACUCCAUCUCAACAAAAAAAGAAAGGGGCAUGAAGUAAGACAGGAAAACAUGUGACCCUGCUUGUGGCCAGGACCAGGCUGGUGGCAAAGUUUCAAAUGGGGGACAAAAGGGUGAGAGAUGGCUGGGCACAGUGGCUCAUGCCUGUAAUCCCAAUACUUUGGGAGACCGAGGCAGGCCGAUCACAAGGUCAGGAGUUUGAGACCAGCCUGGCCAACAUGGUGAAACCCCAUCUCUACUAAAAAUACAAAAAUUAACUGGCAGGUGCCUGUAAUCCCAGCUACUUGGGAGGCUGAGGCAGGAGAAUCGUUUGAACCCGGGAGGCAAAGGUUGCAAUAAGCAGAGAUCAUGCCUUUGCACUCCAGCCUGGGUAACAGGGCAAGACUCCGUCUCCAAAAAAAAAAAAAAAAAAAAAAAAAGGAAAGAAAAGGAAAAGAGAAGAAAAAGAGAGAUGCCCAGAGAUAACCGGGGCCAGGGGCAAGUGGGGAGCAGAGAGGGACAAAAUUCUCUCCCACUCUGGAAAGGUGAGGUUCAGAUGAGGAGGGACUGUCAGAGAACAGCCAAAUGACUUUUUCUUCCUGAGAGUUGGGUAUUCUUUUUAUCAUCAGCGAGCAGAAGUGCUCAACUUGGCAGGUUCUGAGGAUGAGAUUAAAUUUCCUCAUGAGGCAAUCAUUGUGAUGGUGGCAGGGGAGAGGGGGCAGGAAAGGAAGUUAGAUUUGAUUAGGGAAUAACUGUCAAGGCCUAGCUCUGCCCCUUAGGAAAGCGAGAUUCAAGGAGGAAAGGGUAGGAUUUUGCCCUCACACCAACCUAGCCUUAAGGCCUGCUGCCACCAGUUACUAGCUGUGUGGGCUCGCAAGCUGCUUAACCUUUUUGAGCCUGUUUCCUCAUCUCUACAAUUAUGAAACAGGAAAAAUAAAAGGCCCCUAGAGAAUUAGAUUCAGGAAGUUGUGGAAAGUGCCCAGUUAGUCAGAAUGGGAAGGAGCCUGCUUGUUGGUUCCUUCUCUACCUUCCGUCUUCUCCCUUGACAUCUAGAUCCAAUCCCUGUACAGUUGAGGACACCAGCCUCUGCAGGGAUCCCUGAAGACAGAUUCUCAGUCAUUGUCAACCACACCACCUGGUCCAGGUAGCUUUCCCACUGUUGGGAACUCCAGGCUUUCUCCUCCACUCUAGAAAGCCUGGGUGAAUGCAAGUGAGGCUGCAGGGAAUGUUGUCUGAGACUGGGAUGGGAUGGGAUGGGAUGGGAUGGGAUGGGAUGGGAUGGGAUAGCUAAGGACAACCGUGGUGGCAGGCCACUUGAGAAGACAGGAGAGACCACAGGUCUGAGACUUCAGAGUAAUCAGAUAGCCCUGGAAGCUCUGAGAAGGUGGGGGCAUUGGCCCAGCACUUCAGGGGGCUAUAACCCAUGCAGUCACACAGGCUCCAUGAGUAGAAGGGCCCUGAACUUGGUUUAACUGCUGUCUACUGUUGUCAUCUUGAAAUUCUUAAAAUUUUUGAACAAGGGCCCCAUGUGUUUAUUUUAUUUAUUUGUUUGUUUGUUUUUUACAGACAAUAAAAAGUAUGUUGUUUACGGACAGGGUUUCACUCUGUCACCCAGGUGAGAGUGCAGUGAUGCAAUCAUAGCUCACUGCAACCUCAACCUUUUGGGCUCAAGCCAUCCUCCCACCCCAGCCUCCCUAGUAGCUGGGGCUACAGGCACGCACCACCAUGUCUGGCUAAUUUUUUUUUAAUUUUUGGCAGAGACAGGGUCUGGCUAUGUUGCCCAGGCUGGUCUCAAACUCAUGGUCUCAAGUGGUCUUCCUGAGUUGCCUCUCAAAGUGCUGGGAUUAUAGAUGUGAGUCACUGUGCCUGGCCCCACAUGUUUUUACACUGGGGCCUGAAAAUCAUGUUUCCAAAACUGCCCAGCACCAACCUGCCAGCUCUGGGAAUUCCAGCUCAGCAUCCCUGAGCACCCCAGGUGAAGAAGUGGAGAAAGGAGGGGGUUUCUAGAGCAAGUGUUUACAAGGAGACAGAAAAUUGAGGGGCCAGCAAGAAAGUGGUUCAAGUGAUCAACCGAGAAGGCAUCUAGGAUGGGUGGAGUCAGCAGGGGACUGAUGUAUCAGAGGAAAAGGAAAGAGUCUGGGAUCUGGGGGUCUUACACAUAGACACCACUAGUUGGAGCAGAGGUAGAAGUGUGAUUGCACCAGAAGGACAGGGAGCUGGCUAGUCUGGGGCCACAAAAACCAGAGUUUAGGGGAAGAUCAGGCAAGCUGUGGCUGUUGAUCAUGGGACCAGGCUGAGGAUGGGAACCGGUGGGAGGAUGGGAGCAGUGUCCAAGCAGCAAGUGGAGCACAGUCCCUGAUAUUCAGAAAUUUAGGCAGGCAGGCAGCACCAGAGAAGUUGGCACUAAGGACAAGGGUCCCAGCCACUGUGCAGGGAUUCAAGGACAAGACUGGAGUGGGGUGUGCCCAAGCCCUAGAGGGACUCGGGCCUGGACAGGCUCUCAGAACCGAGGCCAGAGCACCAGUGUCCCCAUGCCUCCCCCAGAAAAACCCAUAACAAGAGCGGCACACAAGAAAAGGGCCAGGUGGGCUGUCUGGGAAGGCCAGCAUCUCCUUUGCCACGGCUCCUCCCAUGGGUGCCCAUUGUUACUCUGUCCAUCAUUACCGUUUGGCACAACCAUCCCCCACAACACCUUUUUCACCCACAACACUUUUUUCUCCCUUGAUAGCCUGGAGGCUUCUGAAAGGGAGACACUUUCUCCCCUUUACCUGCUCAUCCCCAACACUAAGCAAGGUGUUUGGCACAUAGUAAGUGCUUAAUAAAUGGUGUCUGGCUGGCUGAGCGCGGGCCAGCUGGAACACGGAUGGUAGCCCUGCUGGACAUUGAGAGGGAGGCAGGGGUGCAUAAAAGGGGCAUCUGCCAGCUCUGGUAUAGACCGCCUGGGUUCUAACCAUGCCUCUGCUACUGCUAAAUGGACCAUCUCGGCCAAGUUAUCCAACCUCUGCCCCUAUGUUUCCUCAUUAUAAAAUGGAAAUUUUUAUUUUGUAUUAUCUUAUGUACCUUUGAGUAAAUGUGUACAUAGCAGUUAGAAUAGUGCUGGACAGCACUUUAGGAGGCGGGGGCGGGAGGAUCACUAGGUCAGGUGAUCCAGACCAUCCUGGCCAACACGGUGAAACCCCGUCUCUACUAAAAAUACAAAAAAUUAGCCGGCCUUCGUCAUGGGCUCCUGUAAUCCCAGCUACUCGAGAGGCUGAGGCAGGAGAAUCGCUUGAACCCGGGAGGCGGGGGUUGCUGUCAACCCAGAUCGCGCCAUUGCACUCCAGCCUGGGCGACAGAACGAGACUCCGUCUCAAAAAAAAAAAAAAGUACUGGACGUGCCACGCACUUGCUAACACUAUCAUUAAUAUGACAGGUAAAUAACAUCUUUGUGUGGCGUGUUGCAGCUGUCACAGCCGCCAGCAGACAGCCGACUCCCUCACCAGUAAACACCGCGGCUUAGGUGUUGCCCACCGGGCACCGGAAGGCGGCCCCCUUCUCGCUCUCCAGUGAAUGUUCCUAAAACAACUGCGGGGUCCAAGAGCACAGGGAGAACAGCGCCCCUGACGCAGGCUGCGCACCCGCCCGGAGGAGGCAGUGCGUCAGUCCUGAGGUCACCGCCACCCGCUCCCGGGGGACGGCCGCCUGGGCAGGUGAGGAGGCGACCACCUCCCAGACGCCUGCCGGAGCUGCGGCGCACCGACUCCCUGCUUCUCCGAGCGGCGAGCGCCACCUGGAGGCUCCCUCGAGAUCUGCAUUUAGGAGGCGACGGGUCCUUUCAUCGUUUUAUUCAUUAAACAUUUAUCGAGGCCUGGAGCGAUGGUUCAAGCCUGUAAUCCCAGCACUUUGGGAGACCGAGACGGGCGGAUCACUUGAGGUCAGGAGUUGGAGACCAGCCUGGCCAACAUGGCGAAACCCCAUCUCUACUAAAAAUACAAAAAUUAGCCGGGCACGGUGGCGCACACCUGUAAUCCCAGCUACUCAUGAUGAGGCUGAGGCACAAGAAUCGCUUGAACCCGAGAGGCGGAAGUUGCAGUGAGCGGAGAUGGAGCCACUGUGUGUUAGGCUCUGGCGACGUGGGGAGAAAUAAAGAUAAUGUCUUGUUUCCCAGGGCAUUAAUAGCGUGAUGGGGAAGACAGGCCAUCAACAAUGUGCAACACUAAGGGCUAGGAAAGAGGUGGAUACAAAGGAGGGAAUAAGGAAUGUGGUCAUUCCUUAAGGUGUUUAUUGGUGCCAGGUACUGUUCAAGGCACCAAAAAGAAUGGAACCAAACAGAGAUCCUGCUCCCAAAGAGCUCAUAGUGGAAGGACAGCCAGACAAGCUUAGAAUUACGGGACAGGCCUAAGAAGGAGCCAGACUGGGGACCAGAGGCGUCCGAAGGGAAGUCCAGGAAGUACCGCAGGAAAACGUGAUAUAUAUUAAAUCUUAAAGAAUGGGCAGGAUUUUGCCAGGCUUAGUGACAAGAUAUCUUCCGUAAAAUCGUGGAACUGAAAAGAAAGGAUAUAGGUUGAAGAAGGGCUAGUUCUGUGUCUGAAAUAGAAGGAACAUGAAAGAGAAGUGCUGGGACAUGGGGCAAAAAAGGGAGUUUGGGGCCAGAUCGUGAAAGCCUUGGUUUAACAGGUGAAAAGUUCAAAUUUGAUCCAGGUAGCUGGCAGAGUCAGAGGUUCUAAAGCAGAGACCUGCUCUAUAGAAAGCUCACCAUGAAGUACAGCAGUGAUGGUGGAUGAAGAUACCAACAGCUCAACCUCCUAUGUGCCAGGGAAAUGCUGAGCGCUUAGCACCUGAUAUUUAUCUUAAUUCUCUAAAUGGGCCUAUGGGGUAAGCAUAUUAUUAUCCCAAUUUUAUUGGAAUACUUCCCUGGUAGGGCCCCUAAACAGGUAGCCAUCAAAUGCCUGAUAAAUUCCAGCUAGCUUUAAAUUCUAGUCGCUACAGAGCAGAGCCCUUCCAUCGCACUGAGCUGAAGGAGCCAGAUGGGCAUUACAGACAAGACCCACUCAGUAGGUGAAAUCAACAGAGCCUAAUGACUAUCUAGAUCUGCAAGAUGAAGAAUAGGAAAGAGCUAAAGACAAGAUUAUGAUGAAAAGUUUGAUUUUGAAAUAAUACAUUUUUAAGAGCUGAGAAAAACCGUAUCCAUCAUCCAGAACAACCGCCUAUUCUACCCACACUCCCAGCACCACAUCAGUACACGUGUGCCUGUACUCACCAUUCUGCCUUGCCUCCUGCUGGCAUGGACGAGUGCUGCGUGUUCCUAAGUGCCACCUUCCGCUGUGCACUCGAUCCCAUCCUCGCGCCCACGCAAGAACAUCGCUUCAUCAAUUGGUCCUUCUCUCACAUAUGAAAUUUUUGGUCUUUCUACUGAGUCAUUCCCAUAAAUAUACAUGUGUACUACAAUUUCUCUCAUCGUAAAAAAUAAUAAAAAUAUUUCCUUGACCUCAAAUCUCAUACCCCUGCCAUUCAAUUACACCAAUCCUCUCCAAAAGAGUUAUUUAUACUCAAACUCCACUUUCUCUCCUCUCGUUCUUUCUUGAACCCACUUCAGUUUCAUUCUCACAACUUCACCACAAUUACUCUUCAGGUCCACAUUGCAAAUCCAACGGUCAGUUGAGAGUCCUCAUCUUAGAUGACCUGUCAGCAGACUUCCACACAGUUGAGCCUAUUCACUCAAGUGCCUAAGGCUAUGCACAUUCUUCUCUACUGACACUCACUUCCUCGUGAUCCUGCCUGGCCUCACGUUUACAACUCCGAAUAUAUUCUUUCCAGCCUGAACUCUCCUCUGAACUUCAGACCCAUACAUCCCCAACUGCUGACUCAAUAUCUGCACGUGGAUGCCUAAUGCGUUCAAACGUAGCAUGUCCAAAAGCAAAUUCCUAAUCCUCCCCCUUCAAACCUUUUGCUCCCAUUUGCUCCCACAGCCUUUUCCAUCUCAAUAAAUCAAAACUCUAAUCUUCCAGUUGUUCAGAAUAAAUGCUGUCAUCAUGUUAUCUGUAUUUGUCGAUAUAAAUUAGGUGAUGCUUCCGUAGCAAAGAACCCCAAAAACACCACAAAUGUUCAUGUUUUUGCUGAUGUCCAGGCUGAGUUGACAGGAGACUCUACUCAUCAGUUUCACUGAGGGACUAAGGCUGACGGAGGCUGUAUCUUGACAAAAUGUUUUCAUGUUUUUAGAGACAGGGGAAGGUGCAUGUUGCAGGGUCUUGCACUUGCAGUGAAAUGCUUCUGCCCAGAAGCCCCGUGCACCUCUUCUGCUUACAUUUUAUUGUCCAAAACAAGUCAUAUGGCCACACCUAACUUAAAGGAGGGUUGGAAGCACAAACUUACUAAGUGCCCAAAAAAGAAAACAACUGGCUGGACACGGUGGCUCACACCUAUAAUCCCAGCACUUUGGGAGGCCGAGGCAGGCGGAUCAUGAGGUCGGGAAUUCAAGACCAGCCUGGCCAACAUGGUGAAACCCCAUCUCUAAUAAAAAUACAAAAAUGAGCUGGGCUUGGUGGCAGGUGCUUGUAAUACCAGCUACUCUAGAGGCUGAGGCAGAGAAUUGUUUGAACCCGGGAGGCAGAGGUUGCAGUGAGCUGAGAUUGUGCCACUGCACUCCAACCUGGAUGACAGAGCAAGACUCCAUCUCAAAAAAAAAAAAAGAAAACAACCAAAAUAUUUGUGAACAGCUCUAAUGAUGACCACAUCAUGCUCAACUCCUUUUUUGCCCCUCCCUUUGCACAUGCAAUCCACCAGCAAAACUUUUCUGACUUUCCAAAAUUAUCCAGAAAUCUGACCUCUUCUCCAGCUCCUCCAAAGCACCAACAUCUUUCAUCUGGGUCAUUACAAUAGCCUUUACUGGACCCCCAGCUCCUGCCCUUGCCUCCUCCCACCCCCUACAGCCUGUUCUCCACACAACACCAGAGCAAUUCUUUUAAACAUGUAACUCCACUCUCAAACCCCUCUAAUAUUUCCUAUGUGACUGAGCACGAAAGCCAGAGACCUUCCAGUGACCCAUGAUGCUACACAACCUGCCCACUUUGUCCCCACUUCUGGAAACUAAUCUCCUGCCAGCUUCCUCUUCAGUCCCUCUUGUCCAGCCACACAGGGCCCCAGUUCUUCCUGGGACGUCAAGCAUGCUCAGCCUCAAGGCCUUUGCACCCACUGUUUCUUCUUCCUGGAAUGCUCUCCCCAGGUAACCAUAUGCCUUUCUCCUUCAGGCCUCUGCUCAAAUAUCUCCUCCUAGAAGCUUUCCCUGAUCACCUUAUGUAAAAUCACACACAUGCACAUACACACUCCACUCACACCUCCCUGCCCCCUAUCCUGUUUUAUUUCUCUUCAUAGACCUUGUCACUGUCUGGCACAUUAUAUGUUUAAUUUGCUUAAUAUCUGUUUCCCCACUAGAAUACACAUUUUAUGCAGGCAGGAAUUUUCUUUUGUCACUACUGCAUCUCCAAUGCUUAGAAUAAAAAUGUGUCAAACGUGAAGAAGUGAGGCCCAAGGCUGGUCAGUGCAGAGCUUGAAGUAAACUGUAGCUCUCUGGACCCUCUGUCCAGGGCACCUCUCCGUGGUGCCAUGAGGCAUUUGUGAAAGGAUGUAGUAGGACACACAUCGCUUGGGGAAUGAAGAGCUGGUGGGUUACCUAAGCCAGAGCUAAUACCAGAGUGUGGGAAACUGGAGUGACUGCUCCACAUUUUGCACUGAAGUCCCUCCCUGUGGGAUGUGGCUGUGGGCAGUGGCUGGGGGGAAACCCUCAGAGCUCCGUUCUGUAUGCUGAAGAAACCACAUGCAGACACCCGGGAAGGAUGACUCAGUCUAGUGGUGAUCCUUGUGAUUGGUACCCAAGGGGCUACCAGGCUUCUUAUUAUUAACAUGGUGGAAAUUAAAUGAGACUUAAUGCAGGGAAAUGUUUGUGGGAAGAGACAUUGUGUUGAUCAAGCAACCAGCAUUCUCCAGCUGCUCCAUCCCAGCACCUGCUCUGCUCCCAGCUCCACCUCAGCCUUGCCUCUGGUCUCAUCCUCAGACCCAGAAGCAGCAUCUCGCCCUCCUGCCCCAGCAGAGCCUGGCCUGACCACAGGCCCCAGCACCAAAUGCUGGCCCUUCCCCAAUGUGUGUUCUGUGUUGUCUGGCCUCACCUCACCAUUUUGUCCUCAGUGAUGGGCAGCCACAAGAAGUGGCAGAGCAAGAGCACAGCCAGAGUUGUCGGGAUCCUGCUGGAAACAGCAGGCACAUGCUCCCGUUGGAACAGGAAGGCAUCAGCUGCUUUUCAGUGCCAGCCAGUGAGUGAAAGGUGAGGGAUUUACUAAGAACAUGUACAAGUUGACCAAGAAAAUGGCUCCAAGCGAGCUCAGCUGGGCUGACACUGCCUGUGCUGGCCUGUGAGCCCCACACCUGGAGGCCCAACCCAUCCCCUCAAUGUGGACACGGAUUCAGAAUAGCCACAUGAGCAUCAAGCCUGCAUCAGCACCUCCAUGAGGUCCCUGGGAAGACCUGGACGUGGUAUUCAGGCCUCUGACCGUGAAAUAUAUGUGUCCUGACACCAAAUGCAUCAGAGUUGACCUGAUUACAAACCUGUUUCAGGCCCACCGGGUGAUCCAGGACAUCUGGCUAGUAAUUGUCCCCCUCUCACAUCAUCACUGAUUACUGUUCUCAGUCAAUCUCUCUCUCUCUCUCUCUUCUUCUCUCCCUCUACCUUCAUCACUUCCAUCAGAAUAAAACAUGCUGGUAAUUUCUCUCAUCUCUUAAAAAAAAAAAAACCCUAUUGGCCUUACAUCCCACCCACACCUCUAUCUGAUUUCUCUGCUGAUCUUUAUUCUAAACUCCCCUAAGUCUCAACAGUGCUCAUGGCUCUCAUCUCCAUCUCUGCCUUCAGUAAUCCACACCAGGGUUUCUCCCCCCCAACUUGCCCAAAACUCCCCUGGUCCAGGUCAACACUUAACUCCUCUCUGCCCAAUGCCCUAGUCAGCCCUCAGCCACAUCCACUCCACCCUGCCCACAUUUGACACAGAUGAUGGCGCGUGCCCCCUCCUUGAUGACAUGGUGUCCGACACAUCAGUCCCCAGAACACCCCUUUCUUCUCUUCUCCCAUUCUAGCUGCAUCUGCAUGGCCCCUUUUCUGCCUCUUCUUUCCUACCUCUUAAUUUUGGAAAUCCCCAAGAUUUAGUAGUACUAAAUCUCUGUCUCUUACUCAUAUUCAUUUUUAAGGUGAUCUCACACACUUCUGUGAUUUUAAUAUUUAUCAAUUUAAGACUCCAUAAUUUUCAACUCUACCUUAAUACUGUCCUGAACUUCAGUCCCUCCAUGACUCAACUACCUAUGCAACAUCUCUGUGUGAACAUGAAAUUAGCAGCACAAACUUAACACACCCAAAAGUUUCUCCUUGCUUUCCUUUCUUCCUCCCUCCUUCCUUUCUUCCUUGCCAUCUUUUUUCCAUUCCUUCCAUCUUCCUAUCCUUCCUCCUUUUUUUUCCUUUUCCUUUUUUAUCCUUUCUUUUUUGCUUCUUAUAAUAGGGAAUUUCUAACAUCCACAAAAAUAGACAGACAGACUUGUAUAGUGAAUCCCCACAUACCCAUCACACAGGUUCAGCAAUUGCUAACUCAUGGUCAAUCUUGUCUCUUUUCCCUCCGGCCUGAAUUAUUUUGAAGCCAGUCCUAUAGAUGUUGCAUCAUUUCAUCUGUAUAUAUUUCAGUUUGCAUCUCAAAAAGAUAAGGCCUCGUUUCUAAACAUAACUAUCAUACUAUUAUUAUAUUCAUUUAAAAAAUCUUAACAUCUCUAAUAACCACAGUGUUCAAAUUUCUCAUUGUCUCAUAAUUUUUGUAAGUUUGAUUCAAAAUCCAAAUAAAGCCCACCCAGUGUAAUGCAUGAUAUAUCUUUUACAUCUCUUUUAAUCUAUAAGUUCUCUCUCCAUCUCUUUUUUCUUUUCAAUGUGCUUGUUGAAACAAGGUCCUAGAGACUUUUCCUUACCUUACUUUUGCUGAAUGCACCCCAUGCUACAGUCUAACAUGUCCCACCCCCUGCUCUAGUAUCUGCAAAUUGGUGUUUGGAUUCUGGAGAUGGUGGUAUGGUCUCCCAUCAAGAGGCACAAAUUGUCUGCUUUUCUCUCUUUUUGCCGUAUUCUGAGCAGUUUAUGUUCACUGCCUGGGCCUAUUACCUCAUGAAGAUUGCCAGAUGGUGACAUUCAAAACCUAUCAUUCUUCUUCAUUCAUUAACUGGGAUCCUUCCAUGCAAAGAAAUGUCCCCUCAUCUACUGCUUGGUUACCCUGAGGUAAAGUUUGUACAGGAAAGGCAGUACAAAAUGGUUUUUCUUUCCAUUUUUAACUAGUUUUUUAAAUAAUGAAUUGAUUCCCUGUCAUUUUCUAAAAGAUACCAAUUAUGAGACCAAUGUUAAUAUCGCCAUAAAUUCAUGGACCAAACACAUUCGAUGAUGUUUCCAUCCACUGUGGUUUUAUCCUUUUGAUGCUCACAUUAUCCCAUUUUCAGCAAACGGGAGCUCCUCCUAGUUGGCUACUUAGUCCUGUUGACAGAACCCUAAUCAUCUUUGAUAGUUUCCUUGCUAUCUGGUACUUCAAGAAGCUCCAGGACAUCUGGUCCAUUUUCUGCCCCAGACUGUGGAUCCGCAAACCUGGCAAAUGGCGUUCAAGCCCACGGUCGGGGUGCUAGGGUCACUGUUGCUCCUGGGUUGGCUCAAAAUAAGUCUCUUGAUUUUCCCCUCAGAACUUGCACCUCCUUCAGUUUUCCCCAUGUCUGUCGAUGGCAGCUCCAUUCUUUCAUGGAAUGGAGACCAAAAACCUUGGAGUCAGCCUUGAGUCUCUUUCCUUCACACAUAUAUCCAUUCUAUCAGGAAAUCUAUUGGUUUCAUCUUCAAAACACACCCAGACCCUGACCACUUCUUACGGCUGACGUCGCCACUCCCUGGUCUAUCAUCUCUCACCUGGCCUUCACAAUCGCCUCAUGACUGGUUUUUCUGUGUCUCCCUGUUGUCUCCAUGGCAGCUAAUGUACACUUUUUAAAAUUUAACUCAGACCUUGGCACUCUUUUGCUCAAAACCAUUUCCAGUGGCUUCUCAUUUCACUUAAAAAUCCAAAAGUCGGCCAGGUACAGUGGCUCACCCCCAUAAUCCCAGCACUUUGGGAGGCCAAGACAAGCAGAUCACUUGAGCCCAGAAGUUCAAGACAAGCCUAGGCAACAUGACAAAACCCCGACUCUACAAAGUACCAAAAGAUCAGCUGGGUAUGGUUUUGCACGCUUGUAGGCCCAACUACACGGGAGGCUGGGGCAGAAGGAUAGCCUCAGCCUGGGAGGUCAAGGCUGUAGUGAGCCAUGUUUGUACCACUGCACCACAGCCUAAGCAACAGAGUGAGACACUGUCUUAAAAAAAAAUGGUCAUUUGCCACGUGCAGUGCCCAGUGCUGCAUCCUGGGGUGCUAUCUCUCAGCAGGGUCUGGGUCAGCAUCUGGUGCGAAGUGGGGUGGAUACCUGAGCACAGGGGUCGCAGCUGACUGGCAGUCACUGGGAGCCCUCCAAGAGGCCACUUGGGCUCAGAAAUCAGGGGACCACAUGGGCUGAAGACUGGAGGCUCUUUCUCAGGUGGUUCUGGCCUUGUCAUCCCCCAGGGACUCUUGCUCCAUCCUGGAGAAUACCUGAUUUGGGACAUCAGAUCCCCCUGGUGAGGGAGGGCUCAGAACUAGAUCUAAUCUGAUUUCAGUAGUAUGACAUUUCUUGGAUCCCAGUGUUUGUGCAGCAAUUUCAUACUUGCUUCAUGCAUAAUGUGUAUAAACUGAAUAAUAAACAUGCACAAACCAUUUUCCUGAUAUUUUCAUCCUAUGGAGCAUAGGAAAAUGGCCUUAGGGCAACAUCAGGGGCUUAGAAAUGUAUAGAAAGUUGCCAAAGAAGGGGUCACCUGGUCCUGUUAGAGGUAGAAUUCUGCUUGUAUAGAAGGCGGAGCUGAUUCCCUAGGAUGAUUCUGGAGCACCAAGGCGAGUAUACUCCUGGCACAACUGAGCUAUCAGAGAAGAAAAACACAACUGGAGGCUGAGUGCUGCAUCCCCUACUCCAGUCCCAGGGUCAGCAGGCAGCUGCAGGUGGUCCUGACAUUUCCCACUGCUUAUUAAAAAGGAAAACAUUUAAUAAAACAAAACACACGCUUGUCGCUCAGCAGGUCCAGGCACUGCCAAGGAUACUGAUUCCCAUUUACUUCAACGCUCCGAUUGGUGCUUCUUGUCUGCUUUCCCUGGAAAUGGGCUUGCAGACUGGAAAACAGAGUACAGUGAGAGAAAAAACCACGCUUAUCCC